rnacentral:lncRNA from 1 species
UAGUGCUGAGUUUAGAAUAGGAAACGGAUCCAGGAGUCGAAAGAUAGAAAAAAUACUGAAGUGCGAGUGUCCGUAUGGAAACAGCAACCAAAAGCAUGUAACAGGUCCCAAACAAGGAAAGUGUUAUGAGAAUAAACAAGGACAUUGAACGGCUGGGUAGGAGAUACGCUGUUAAAACAGUUGUUGCCCAAAAGGUUAAAGUGUUGUAUAACCAAAACAUUGUGGACACGUCUAGUAUAUUUUCUAUUUUUUUUUCUUCAGCGGGUGGAGGACUUGGUACGGGUCCAGUGCUGGUUGAACCUAAAGAUAUGUCAUACGUGAGAUGGAAAUUCUGGGAAUUUGAAAUGGUAUCAGGCUGCUUUGGAGGGUUCAAAGUGGCAGUGUAUGUGGCUGUUAUAAUUAGCACUGUGACUACUAAAAAUGUGUUACGCGUCUCAUGUGGGAUUCCCUUCUUUCCACGACUUGCUAUUGUUGCAAUUUUUUGAAGAACUGACACCUUUCCUUUUAAAGAUUCGAUGGGGAUUGAAGAGAUGGAGGCUUUGGGAAGCGAGGAAGAGGAACCACGCAAACCUCCUGCUUUGCUUAUCAUAUCUUUAAUGGACUCCUUAUAGUCCACUCUCCCUUCAUCCAAUGGGUAUUGUGAUGGGAUAUCAAGUGCAGUCAAUCCCUCCGCAUUUUUGGCAUUGAUAUGGUCUCCACACAAGCGUUUCAGCAGUACUUUUACCACCUGUUAAUUAGAAUAUUCAUACAAGUAACCUUUGAGUAUAUAUAUACAUAAAUAAUUUUACUAGCAAAAUUAUCAUACCUGAGGUCUGUUUCUGAUAGUAGCAACAUGUAAAACAGUGUUGCCAUCAAUGUCUGCCCAACUCAGUAGUUCUUUCUCCCAACGGUUGGCAGCUUUAUGGCGGCUCCUUAUAAGCCACCCCACCAAGACUUGGAAAGCUUCAAACCUGUCAUUUUUUACGGCAAGAUGGAAAACCGUCUCAUCUCGAACAGUCACAUCUUCAAUAGCCUCGGGGCAAACCUCAAGGAACUUGAUCAAAAAAUCAACAUUUCCAUUUUGAACCACAUGAUGCAAAGGAGUGAAGCCCUCCCGCCCUUUGACACGAACAAGGCCUUCAUCAAACCUGAGGAGUCGAAGCACUGCUAGAGUUUUUUGAUUUUGCAGAGCCAAGUGCAUGGGGCUAAACCCAGCUUGGUUUAGCUUUCUUGCAAACGAUGGCUUUAAGUUGAUCAUCUCCAUCAUAAAAUCAAUAUGCCCUGCAGAAGCUGCUACAUGCAAAGGAGUAUGGAAAAAAGGUACAUCAUCGAUACGCUGUAAAACAUAUGGAUCAUUCAGAAUUAACUCAUACAAGAUGUUUAUGUCUCCUGUUUGUGCAGCACCUAUCAUCCUCUCAUCCAUAGCAAGGUGCGGAAAUUUGCAGAAUAUAGAAAUGGAGUGAAGAAAAAACGCUUUAGCAGAGGAUAUGAUUAUGUUAAGGAUAUAAUGAAGUGUUUGAUUAUUUUUUCCAGAUGAAGUGUUAGACAUUUUAUAGCACUUAAUUAUUUUGGAUUUAUAUGUGAUGUCAGCCUCUACACGUAUAUACGUGAAUGUCACCUAUUAGAAAGAAAUAGUAAUUAAAUUCAUAUUUAAUAUACAUUUUUAAUCUAAUUUUUUUAAUUCAAUUUAAUUUUAGUUAAAACGUUUAAAAACAUUUAUUUAAUCUAAUUUCUUUAAUAUAUUAAAUAAAAAAGAAAUAUUAAAUAAAUUGGAUUAGAGAAUAUAUUGAAUAUGGAUGAAUACUGUAUCAUACUAAUUUUAUGUCUCUAAAAAUUUUAUAUAUUAUUUAGUGGUUUAAUUUUUUAAGAACAUUUGAUAUAAUUCAUAAAGAAAACAAAUAAUAAUUAAUAAUAAAUUUUUUAAUAAAAAAGGUGUGAAAAAUGGUAAGUAGAUAAUAGCUAUUAUCGCUUACAACAUGUUUGGAUUAAAAAGAAGAAAAAAGAAGGGAAAAUUAAGUAAAUUGAGGGAAAGAAAAUUCGGUUUCUUUGUUUAAGUAAAGAAAAUUAAGUAAAUUUUUUAUCGUAUCAUUAGAUUUUAUAUUUUAGAUUAUUAUCUCUUCUUCUUCUUUUUAACUUGUAACAAUCUUAUUUUUAUUUUCUAUUUUUUUAGGUUACUAGAAAUAUUUAAUUUUAAAUUUGUUUGAUAUAUAUUUUUAAAAAUUUUAACAAUAUUUUUUUAUUAACUAUUUUGUUAAAUUAUUAGGAAUCCUUCAUUUAUAAUUUGGUUAAGAUUUUUUUUUUAGUUUGAUCAAAUAAGCUUAUUAAAAAAAGAAUAUACCAAUAUAUUAUUGGUUAACAUUUUAAUUAUUAUUUUAUAUAGAAUAUUGAUAUUUUUCUAUAAAUUUAAUUUGCUGUGAUUUAAUUUUGUUAUUAUAUAUUAUUUAUGAACUGUUAAAAUUAAAAAAUAAAAGUAAAAUAAUUCAUUUUCUUUCCUUUUCACAGUUUAGCAAAACAAGUCCACAGGCUCGUCUCAUUCAAAAAAAGUAAAUUAUAUAUAUAUAUAAGGGCUAGUUUUAACAAAUGAAAAAUAUAGAAAAACUAUAUUAAAAGAAAUGGGGAAGGGAAAAGAACAGAGGGAGAAACAGAAGAGAAUGAAAAAUAAAGAAAAGUUAAAAUAACAUAAAAAAAAUUAAGGGUGGGUUUGGAUGGGCGAUUGGGUGCGGUGCGGUGCGUUUAGCUUAUUUUUUGUCUCACACUACAGUGUCGCUACAGUAUCUAAUCUCACCGCCACCGCUGUUUUUACACUAACUGCAGGUAAACGCACCGCCCAUCCAAACCCACCCUAAAUUGAAUUGCUCAAAACGAAAAAAUUAUAGGAAUCGGUUGUAUAAAUCACCCUAAAAUUUUUGUUUGAAAGAUGAUUUAACAUGUCACAUCAGUUUAUCGUUACACCAUUAACGGAAAUUAACAGCUCAGUGACUAAAAUGUUACAACGUGAUAACGUAAAUGACUAAAAUGUAACGUUUCAAACAUAAGUGACUAAAAUGUAAGCAAAAGUGACUAUUUUAAUAAUUUACCCUUGCAUUUAUCCAAACAUACGCUUAACGUAAACAUUUUUUUAAUUAUUUUUAUUUUAUUUUAUUUUUUACCAUUAUCCGUUAUCCUUAUUUUUAAAAAGUAUAAUUAAUAAAUAGUAUAAUUAUUUUUUAAAAUUAAUUUUAAGUAAUACACCAAAUAGAUUUUAUAACUUAAAUUUAAUAUUUAAUUUUAUAAUUUUUUUUUAUCAAACAACGUUUACUCCUAAGUAAAUAAAUAAAUAAAGGCCUUGUGUAAUUAAGAAAGUUGAGAAAGAGUUAGUCCUCACAUUGGCUAAAAUAACGGAGGAAAGAGAAAAAUUGGCCAAUAAUGGGGAGGCAAUGUCAAUGAGCAUACCCCACACAUACUAUUUACUGUCAAUGGUGAUGGCUGAAUUGGCUACUAUACAUGGAUUUUGUUUUCCUUUUCUUUUUUGUUCUUGUCCUGUAUUAUUUGCAUUUGUGAUCCCAAACUAUGUAAAAUUCCAGUCACUAUGUGAUCACAUUUUAAAAAAAAAAUUAUUUAUUAUCGAUUGAGUAUCAGCUUGAUUGGUAUAAAUAUUAUUGUUAAUGUAUAAGAACAUAAAUUUGAGUGUGUUAAAGCGCAUUAUCCUCUUAUUUAUAGAUUGAGAAGUGGUUAUUGGUAGUUCUAGACAUUGUGUAGAAAAGAAUACAUAUAAUCAGAAUCUAUAUUAAAAUUUUUCAAAAAAAUAUAUUUAUUACACAUGAAUUAAAAGAAAUCUAUUUAUGGGUAGUUCAAGAUUGUUGAAGCUAUAAAAUAAAAAUUCAAUUCGAAAAUAUAAAUCUCUUUUGUUUAACAAAAUAUUAAUAAUUAGUUGAGUUAAUAUUAUGAGUCAAUCGAACACCAAUUUAAUUAAGAAAUUACGAAAAUAUCGUUCCAUAAUUAAAAUAAAUUAUAUUAUUUGAGGAUAUUUUAAUAUUUUUUAUGUAAAAAAAAAUCAAUAAAAAUAUGAAUAUGAUGGGAUUUGAAAUAAAAUCUAGAAUUUACCACUCAACCAAAAUUUUAUUUUAUUAUAUUUUAUACAUUUUUAUUUUAAUAAGCACACUUUAUUAUCUCCGUCAGUUAUAUAUAUAUUAAUAAAUUUAUUGAUUGAGUUGAUAUCACAAGUCAACUCAAUACUAACCGACAAUUGAAGACAACACUUUGAUAGACAGUUGUAGUGCAUUUAAUUAAUAUUUUUAUUUUGAUGUAUUUAUGUGUUUAAAUUUUAUUUUUGCUCCCAAAUUAAUUUAAUUUUUUAUUUUAAUGUCAUACAUAUUUUAUAUAUUCUUAUGAUUAAUUAGCUUCAAACCAUAUGUUUUAUUAUUUAUUUUAUUUUUUUAAGCAUAUAUCUGUAUUCCAAAUCUAAACGCAAUUGCUUAUGUUAGUCAAUGUUACAAAUUGAGAAAUUUAUUAAAACUAUUGAAAUCUUCACAUCUAACCUGGUUUUAUCAUGUUUGGAAGACGCUAUUGAUCUUCUUCAAGUGGUUUUUUCACAAAUAUACUAUUCAUAUAUAUAAAAUAUGAUGAGUAAUAAUGUAUAGUGACGUGUCCAAACACUAAUUGAUGAAAAAAGUGAGUAAUAUUUUAUUACAACAUGAUGCCUUUUCAUAGUAUAAAAUGACUAUGCGAAUGAGGGCUUCCUACCAUUACCAGAAAGCUGAGGCUGUAGGAAUGAUGGCUUUUGCAAGUUGUGAUUUUAGGAUUUUGUGUUUGAUUAUUGUUUAGUUAUGCUAAAAUGUCACAUAUGGGUACUGUUUUAAGUUAUGUGUGAAUUCUAAGUUGAAUAUGUAGCCGCCUAAAAUAUUUAGGAGCGCUAAUUGAGAUCAUUACGAAAGAAAAUUGUAUUCUAACGGUGUAUGAAAAUUUGGACAAAAAUCUCAACUUUUUAUUUUUUUUUAAAUUUUAUUUUUGCUCCCAAAUUAAUUUCAUUUUUUAUUGUUGUACAUAUUUUAUAUAUUCUUAUGAUUAAUUAGCUUCAAGCCAUAUGUUUUAUUAUUUAUUUUAUUUUUUUAAGCAUACAUCUGUAUUCCAAAUCUAAACACAAUUGAUUAUGUUAAUUAAGGUUACAAAUUGAGAAAUUUAUUAACACUAUUGAAAUCUUCACAUCUAACCUGCUUUUAUCAUGUUGGGUAGAUGCUAUUGAUCUUCUUCAAGUGGUCUUUCACGAGUAUACUAUUCAUAUAUAUAAAAUAUGAUGAGUAAUAAUGUAUAGUGACUGUCCAAACACUAAUUGAUGAAAAAAGUGAGUAAUAUUUUAUUACAACAUGAUGCCUUUUCAUAGUAUAAAAUGAUUAUGCGAAUGAGGGCUUCCUAACGAUGGCUUUUGCAAGUUGUGAUUUUAGGAUUUUGAUUGUUUGAUUAUUGUUUAAUUAUGCUAAAAUGUCAUAUAUUUGUGAGCCCUACACUCACAUCAAAUUUAGAUAUGACAAACAUGAUUUAAAACAAAACCAUAUUAUAUUACUAGCUGUGAGCAAUUUAAAGAAAUUGAAUUUCUUUUUUACAAUUUUAAGUUAAUCAAUUAUUUGAUUUUUUAAAAUUAACUUGAAUGAGUGAUUUUGUUUUUCAAGUUUAAGUCAAGUUGAAUUUUACAACUCAAAUAUAAAUAUCUCUUGGGUCACUGAUAGUUUUAAAAAUGUACAAACUGAUCUGUCUCAAAAAUUUUAAAAAUUCAAAAUGAUCUUCUAAAACUCAAAAUAUUUAUAAAAUAUUUUCCCAAAAUUUUAUAAAUACAUAUAAAUUCAAAGAAUUUACCACUUAAAAAUAUAUAAAAAAUAUUAAAUUAUAUUUUUUGAAAAAAUUAAUAAAAUAAAUUUGAGGUCUUAAAUAAGUAACUUAUUAAUUCAAUUUUAUCAUACUAAUUAUCUUGUAUUCCAAGAGUUUUCAUAUAUAUCAGGGGCGAAGCCAGAAAAUUUUUUUUUAGGGGGGCAAAAUGAAUUUUUUAUUUUUAAUAGUCUAUAUCUUUAUAUUAAUAUUUGAACUGGUAUAAAUUAAGAUUGUUACGUCUAACAUUUAUAUCGAAUAAUUUUUACUAUAGAGAAAAGAAGUAAAAAUAAUAAUAUAUGAUGUAAAAUUAUUAAUUUGAGUCUUAACACAGUCGGUAUUUGUAUGUUGUUUAUGUAAUAUGGAGUGAGUUCAAGUAUGUUCAUGUGUAAUUUUUCUUUCUAUUUAAAGGUUGGAGAGGAGUUAGGGUGAAGCUAGAAUUUAUUUUUUUUGGGAGACGAAAUUAAGUUGUAUAUUUUUAUGAGAGUUAAAAUACAAUUUCACAAUUUCAAUAGAUUAUAUGUUUACAAUUUUUAAAGAACUAAAUCAAUAUUUUAUCAUUUUUUGGGGCUAAAGUACAAUUUUACCAUUUAUUAACUUAAAAUUUUAUAAACUUAAUUUAAAGGGUUAAAAUUUGAAUUUCACAUUUUAAAGGGAGGGAUAGAAACCCUUCUAGGCUCCCCUCUUGCCGCCCCCCUAAGAUGAUAUAAAGUAAAGCAAUAAGUGUCUAAAAUAUAUGAAUUAUGAGUACUGAUUACACUUGACCAAUUGCUUUUCUUCAAACAAAGCAAACACUAAUGCACAUGAAAAUGCAAAUUCACAUGCAACCUAGAUAUGCAUUCUAUAUACAAUGCAAUGCAAUGAAUAAAUAAAUAAAUAAAUAUAUAUUAUUUAAUCAUGAGAGUUUUGAUCCCCUUGUGAUUCUUUAACCAACCAUUCUCACACCUAAUUAUAAUUCUAGUAUAGUAAAAGUACGUGAGUGAGUUGAAUGGAUGGUGGUUGUUUGACAUAACAUGUAGAAAGUGAAAAAAUAGUUGAAAAUAAAUCAAGUAUUAAAACAAAAAAUUUAUGAAAGAAAUUCUAGUAUUAUCAAUUUUUCGUGAGGCUCAAAGCUAUUUGGAACAAAAAUAAAAUCAAUGUGUAUAGGCUUAACAAAAUAGCUAUCAUCUUGCAUUGUUAUUUCAUCCUAACCUCUUCCCUCAUAACUUCAUCUUCUAUUUUCUGUUUGACAUUAUCAAAAGUAAAACAUAGUUUUUUUAGGUUUUUCGACUAUUUAUGCAUCAAACUUUUAGGCCAUUUUGGACAUCUUCAUAAUGUUUUUGGGCUUUAAUCUAAGAAAUAAAUUUAGAUAGAUCUUUCAAGUCACAUCAACAUUUCAUAAAUGAUUUAAUAAAUGAGUAAUAAAAGGAUUUAGGGUUAAUGUGCAAAUUUGUCACUAUACUUCAAUUUGAUUGGUAUUUGAUAUUUGAUAUUGAAUUUUAUUGCUUUAAUUUAAUUGAAUUUUGCCACUAAAAUUAGAAUUUUUAUUGAAUUUUCUAUUCAAUUUAAAUUUAAAAUAACUUGAAGGCUAAGUUGAUUAAAAAAUAGUUUUAUAUUUCGCUUUAAUAUUAAAAAAUAAUAAGUUAAUUAAUAUAAUAUUAAAUUUAAAUAAAAUAGUUAUUUUAUAAAAUAAAUUUUUUUUUCUCUUUUAUGAGAUAUGGACUCAUUAACAAUAGAAAUUCUAAUUUAAUUUAUUAAUUUUUAAUAUUUAUAAGUUAAAUUAUUGUUAAAUAUUAAAAUAAAAUAUUUGAAAGAAUUUUUCUUAUUAUAUAUAUUAUGUUUUAAAAUCAUCAAAUUAAUAUUGAGUGGUAAAAAUUAAUUAAAAAAUUGAUUUGGAGAAAUUUUUUAAUAAAAUUGAAAAUUUAUAGUAAAAUUCAAUCACAUAAUAGUUGAUUGAUAAAUUUACACAAAAACUUAAAAUAUAGCUAUGAAUAUCAAUGAAAAUAAAGUAUAGUAGCAAAAUUCAAAGUAUAGUGACAAAUCAUAUAAGUUCAAUGAAUAAAAGAAAUAAAAAAUUAAAUAUAUGAUUAAAAAGAUUUUUUUUUUUUUACGAAAUUGAAAGAUCAAAUAAAUCAUUAUACGUAAUAUAAACAAAAUCACAAGUAUCCUUAAACUUGGCUUAAUUGCCAAUUAGACAAUUUAGGAUGUCAGAUGCAUAAUCAACAAUUUGGAGAUAAAAGGAUGAAUAACCAAGUAUUUUUAUAAAUAAAUUUGUUUUAGAAGAAUGGGAUGAGUUUUAGAGUAUAUAGAGAAGUAGGGUAGUUCUUCCUUCUCCGCAUAGUGGUUUUGCCUACAAUAAUGAAGCAAAGGGAAAAACACGAGGAUGAGAUGCAAUGAAUUCCCCUUGCAUACCCAAUACGUACUAUUUACUAUUUCUUUUCCCACUGAGAAGUUGGUAUUUUGGAAUUAUCGUUUUCAGCUCUACAAAUGUUCUUGGUGCUGUGUCUGUCUUUCUUUGGUGGGUUCUUGCUUUCUGAAUCUGGUUCUACUGUCGAUUUGGAUGGUUAGGAUACAGCGCUUCAGGCAACUGAUGUUCAAAAGGUUCGAUGGCAUUGGGGAUAUGAUGAUUUUAAGUUUAUUGUCGCCCCAUCAGUUGGUUGUUUGGGUGCACAACUAAAUUUUAGUAUUAUUUUAUUUUCCAUAAUUAUAUUUAUUUAAAUUUUAUAAAUAUUUUCUAAGUCUUAAGAUUUUAUUUUUUGCAUUUUAUGAUUUCUUUUUUUGGAUUUUUAAUGGUUUUUAAAUUUUUAUAAUUUUUCUAAAAUGUUUUAAGUAUUUUGAUUGUGUGAGGUUUUGUGAAUGAAGCGAAGGGUAUCUUUAUUGUGGUGAACUUUUAAUUAGCUCAAAAUGAAGUGAUUUAUUACGUCGUGUGAUUUACGGAUAAGUGUUAAAAAUGAAAUGAAUUGUUGAAUUUGAAAACAAUGGUGUAAUAUUGCAGGGAUUUCCAACAUUAUCAUAAAUUUUAGUGAAUUUAGAGACGAAAUCACAGGUCCACUGAGUUUUGUUCAAAUUUAGGGAUUUCAUCGUCAUAUACGGUCGAUUUGGAUAGUUAGCAUACAAAGCUUCAGAUCAUUGAUGUUCAAAAGGUUUGGUGGCCAUGGGUAUAUGUUGAUUUUGAGUUUAUUGUUGCCCCAUAAGUUAGUUGCACUAAAAAAAUGGGUAUUACCGAUGCUAAAAAUUGUUACUAAAAUUUUAUUGUAGCAAUAAAAGUUGUUGCGGGAUUGUUGUGUAUAUCUUUGUUGUCUAAAAUAUAUGCAACUCUACUCAAUUACACAAUAUUUACUCUUAAAUAUGACCUAUUCAACCACCGAUUUCAGCACAUUAAACACAAAUUAAUAAUCUAGAAAUAUCAAACCAAGAAUUAAAUACACAUAAUUGAGAACAAUAAAUUAAGUGUUUAUUGCAUAAAAUAAAAAAUAAAUGAUAGAAUCCAUCAUAGAGUUCACCUCCCUAGGUAUUUAGAAAAUUAGUUCAAGCUUGAAAAUAAAAACAUCCAAGAAAUAGUACAACCAAAAGAAAUAAAGAAAUUCAUGAUAAUCUCCUAAGAAAUCAACUGAGAAUCUUCAAUCUUGACAGAAAUUUGCUUCCAACUUGGCUUCAAUGGUAUUUUUCGAGUUGUUUUCUUGAAUAUUUUAUGACGGCACUCUCAUAUCUUCUUAAUUUUGUCAUAUAUACGUCUUAGAAUGCCCAAAAAACUUAAAAAUUGUGAUUUUAUGCUGUUUGUGUGGCAAUUCCACGAAAUCGACACAGCCUACUACACACCAGUGUGGGUCAUACGACUGUGUGCUUUCCUCGUGUGAAAUUUAGAAAAUGCAAAAGAUUCCCUAUGCACUAGCUGCUGGAAUCUAAUGUAUGCUCAAGUAUGUAUGCGUCCAGAUAUUGCAUACAUUGUUGGGAUGUUAGGCAAACAUUUAAGCAACCCUGGUAUAGACCAUUGGAUAACAACUGAAAGGGUUAUGAGGUAUCUUUAGAGAACAAAAUAUUACAUGCUCACAUAUUGGAUGUUUGAUAAGUUAGAGAACAUCAAGUUUACAGACUCCAAUUUUGAUGGAAUAUUGAUGCAACAUUUUGCCACUAGAGUGCAAACUGUGACAAUAAUUAGUAGUCUCUUAUUCCAAUAACAAUAAAAGCACAUCAAAGUCAAAGCACAUAGACUUUAAGUUCAUAGUUGUUAAAAUAAAAGUUCAGGGUGGUUAGAUGUCUAUAAAGUAUAUUGAGACAAACUUCAUGAUUGCGGAUUCGCUUACUAAGGGACCACCACCCAAAGUUUUUUUCAUGAGCACACUAUUGAUAUGAGUGUAAUGUCAUUCACUACAGAAUAAGUUUUUAGUGGCGUUAUUUUGGGGCUAUAACUGCCUUAUAAGCGUCGCUAAAACAACUUGCGGCGUUUUGAAAAGCACCGCUAAAAACGCCACUAUAGAACAUGACCUUUAGGGGCGCUUUUCCCACAAAUGCCGCUAAAAGUAUGACCUUUAACAGUGUUUGUGGGGCAAACGCCACUAAAGAACAUGACCUUUAGCGGCGCUUUCUCCACAAACGUAACUAAAUGUCAUGUUCUUUAGUGUCGUUUUUAGUAAAAGCGCCGCUAAAAUUCAUGUUCUUUGGCGACAUUUGUGGAAAAAUGCUACUAACUUUAGCAGAUUUUUACCAACCCAUUUUCAUUCAUAUAGAAUCCUAAUUGUUAACAUAAUUUCCUGUAACAUCAAAUCCAACCAAAAACUAAAAAUUUAAAUGAUACUUCAAUUCCAACGAAAGAAAUAUGUAUGUGAUCUAAAUCAGUAAAUGAAAUAACAAAAUAUAUUAUAUUCAAAAGUUAUAUUGUUAAAAUAUUCUCACAAUAAGAAAACAAACAUCUAAGAUGAUGGAUUCUACGACUGUUGAAACAUCUUCAUCAUAUUCUGAAGCUGUAGCUGGAGUUUGUCAUAUUUUUUGCUUGCCCCUGCUUCCCUUGCUGCCGCCUCCGCUUUAAGUUAUAGUUGGAGUUUUUCAUAUUUUCUUUAAGUCUUUGCUUUUCUCGAUGCUGCCUCCACUUUAAAUUGAGCAAUUUGCUCAACUGUGCUCGCUUGCAUUUGAACCAUCUGGUCUCUUAACCUCUGAACUUCAGCUUGAGCCUGAUUCUCUGAAGGCAUGUAUUGUUGCGAACUGGAUCCAAAAUAUUGGGUUGGGUUAACAAAAUAUCCUUGAAAUCAAACCCGACCAUACUUUUCGAGACCCAAAACUUCGGUAAUAAUUCAGUUAUCAAUGUCAUCAAUAUUAACAGAACUAUCACUUGAAGCGAUCGCUUCAUACUCUGCCCUUUUAUCCUUUAGUUUCUCCUAAUAAAUCAACCAAAGAGUUAGAAACGAAAUAUAUAAUCAAAACAAAUGCAAUAUAACUUUGGGAGUCUAAUGUAUGCUCAAGUAUGUAUGUGUCCGGAUAUUGUGUACAUUGUUUGGCUGUUAGGCAAACAUUUAAGCAACUCUAGUAUAGGCCAUUGGAUAACAAUCGAAAGGGUUAUGAGGUAUCUUUAGAGAACAAAAUAUUACAUGCUCACAUAUUGGAUGUUUGAUAAGUUAAAGAACAUCAAGUAUACAGACUCCAAUUUUGAUGGAAUAUUGAUGCAAAAUUUUGCCACUAUAGUGCAAAUUGUGACAAUAAUUAGUAGUCUUUUAUUCCAAUAACAAUAUAAGCACAUCAAAGUCAAAACACAUAGACUUUAAGUUCAUGGUUGUUAAAAUAAAAGUUCAGGGUGGUUAGAUGUCUAUAAAGUAUAUUGAGACAAACUUCAUGAUUACAGAUUCGCUUACUAAGGGAUUACCACCCAAAGUUUUUUUCAUGAGCACACUGUUGAUACAGGUGUAAUGUCAUUUAAGGAUAUUUGACUUUAGUGGGAGUUUGUAUUUUUAAAUUUUUUUAUGUUACAGACACAUCGGUUAUCUCAGUUUACGAAUAUUAAGUUUAUUUUCUUUAGAAAUAAAGUUUAUUUGGUAAAGUUUGACCUCACUAAGGUUAAGGAGGACCAUUUAGAAUAGGCAUGUUUGAAUCAUAUUGCAUGUAAUUUUCAUGUUACACAUCCAUACUUGAUCUAUGUCAUUUGGUUGUGCUAAUAUAUGUUAUUAGGGAUGGAUUUAGUUAUGAUAUAUGUAACAAAAGUCACAUUCGUUCUAUGUUAACUUAAUUAAUGAAUGAGAUUAUUUGGAAUACCUUUUGGAUAUGAUAGUAAAGUUUUGAGCUCAUAAAUUUAUAUAAUGACAUGUAAUUAUAAGGUAAUUGGUAUAUAUAUGUGGCCAAGUGGUAUGGACAUCACAUAUAUAAUAAGCCUAAUUACUCCAAAAUCCUUGCAGCCCUUUAAUGACUUUUAAGCAAUCAUAACCAUUUUAUUUACAGGUCAUUUGUAUGAAGGAACUUUGUGGUCAUGAUCGAGAGAUUCGAAUUUAGCAUAUUUACAGAGAAGGAAAUCUUGUUUCAGAUUUCUUGGCCCAUAUGGGAUUCCGGCUUUGAUCUAAGUUUACUACGAGAGCCACCUGGAAAUGCUCUCUCAAUUUCAACUAUACUAUGUGAUGAUAUUGCUAGUUCUUUGCCCUAUCGCCUGUGCUCAUUUGUGGUUAAUUAGUUUGUAAUAACCCAAAUUUGCCCAGGCUUACAACCCAAAAAUAAACAGAAAUAAAACCCAAAAAUAAAUAACAAGGCCCAAAUAAUAAUAGCCCACAAAACUUAAAAAAAAUCCAGCCAACUGAAACCCUAAUGCCCUCAUAUACGCCGCACCUCCUCCUCGGACACACUGCUCGUACCUCGUCCCAAGGUCUGACUCUUCCCAUAACAGCCCAAUUUUCAAUGAUAUCAGAAACAAUGAUUUUGGAUCACUAAAUCUGAUAAGUAAGCUUGAAAAUUUAAUAAUUAAUAAUUACGGGUCAAGUGUGAAUUUAGAAGAAUUUUUGAAUUAGUGAAUUUUGUUAUUUAAAAAGAAUUUAAUAGGUAAAUCGGGUCUAAAAUGAGGUAUCGAGACCUCGAAUCCAUAAGUCAACACAUAAAUAUUUUUAUAAAUAUUUAUGGAGUGCCAUUGAGUUAGUAUUAAAGUUUCAUCAGAAAAUUUUAACGUUUUGAUAGUCAAUUAAUUAAAAAGGACUAAAUAGAAAAGAUGCAAAACUUGCUAAAGUGAUUAAAUAGCCUAAAAAUUAAAUAAGGAAGGCCUAAAAGAUAAAAUGGACCAAUUUAAGUGGCUGAGGUGGCAUACGGUUAAAAAAAUUAAAGAUUUUUAUGUAUUUAAGGGCAAAAUUGGAAUUACAAUAAAGUUUAUGUGGCCAAAAUUUAUUUUAAGGAUUUCAAGACCAUUUCUUCUUGAAAUUUCGGUGUAAAACAGCCAUGGAAGAGGAUUGAGAGCUGAUAUUUUAUAUUUUAGCUUCAAGUUCAAUUCUUGUUUUUCCCUUGAAAUUUUUAUAUUUUUGGACUUUUACAAUUAGGUCCAACUUAGUAUUCUAUUAGUUUUUUAUUUUGUUGAAAGUUUUGGAAGAUACCAUUGAUAAGUUCAUAUGAUUUUUAUUAUUUGGUGAUGAAAUUGAGAUGUUAAUGGAUGUUUAAAGGUGUUUUAUUAAAUAAUUUUGGAUGAAAAUAUGUUUUAGGGAUUAAAUUGAAAAGUAUUGAAUUUGUGGAAAAUUCUAAAAUUUUAAGAAAUCCAUGGGCUUUCAUUGACAUGUAUGCGAAUGAUUAGGCUUGUAUCAAUGAUUAAAUUGAAAUAAUUUCAUUUUCCGAGCCUAGGGAUGAAAUCGUCAUGUAUUAAAAGUUUAGGGUCAAAAUGGUAAUCAAUAUAUUGCACUAAAAUAGUUUUGGGUAGUAGUAGUGUGCCAACUUUGAAAAAUCACCAAAAACUGUGGGAAUCGAAUUAGAAGAUGAGUAAAAGAUGAAAUUAAAGCUUAUUGUGUCUAGUUUCUCAUAGAAGAAACAGUGUAAGCAAUGGAAUUAUAAAUCAUGAGAUAUAAUAAAUUUUGUGAGACAGAGUCAGAAUAAUUUUGGAAUCCCCUGUUCUAAUUUUGGAAAAUCAUUAAAAAUUGUAUAAAAAUAAUUAUGAGUUAUAGUUUAUAUGUUUAAAAUCCUGAAAGAGUUUAUUUUCAAGAGAAACAAACAAGAACAUCACCCAAACUCUGUACAAUGAGAUAAUUACUUUUUGGUGAAGAGAGGUCAGAACUGUCAAACAGUGAAACAGGGGAGAAUUUAAAGAAUAAACUGUAUUUAUUGGCUAAGCCAAAAAUUCUAAAAAUUUUAUGGUAAAAUGAUAUAUGAGACUAGUUUCUGGAAAAAUUAACAAAUCUUAAUUUAGAGCUUCGUAGCUCGAGAUAUAAAUAAUUUAGUGACUCUGACUCGGAUAGACAACUUUGAAUUUAUGUAUAAGUAAAUCGUGAAAAUAUAGUUAAUGUUAUUUAAGCAUGUUAUAUACAUUAAGGAUGUGGAAUGGAGAGGAGGAGGAGGAAAAUUGGAAAAUAUAUGAAUGACUUGUGUAUGAAUUGGUCAUAUGCCUGAUUAUAAUCGAUAAACGUUGAAUUUGAAAUGAUAUAAUGUUUUAUUUCAAAUAGUUAUUAUGAAAUUAUGAUUAUCAUUAUGUUACAAAAUUUAAUUGUAAGUUCAUAUGGCAGAAUUUUAAUGAUUAAUUGUUAAUUUCAUAAUUAUAUAAUAUAUGAUGGGAUAUAAUUGUUGAUGAAUUGAGAAUAAAAUAACAAUGCGAAAAUCGAAUAAAUGAUCAAAUUUAGUGGAACGUCGGAUUUGAGUACUUCUGAUCAGUGACAAGUGAUAUAUGAUUUCCGUGUAAGACCAUAUUUGGGAUAUGGCAUCGUUGUGACAUGUGUUUCCGUGUAAGACCAUAGCUCGGCUAUGGCUUCGGUGUGUGAUAUGUAACGAUGUGCAAUACCAUAGCUAUACUAUGGCAAUGUGGAAACAAAGUACUCAAUUCCAUAAGACGUUCUCUAAUUUAUCAAAUUGUGGUAAGUGUUAAGCAAAUUUUAUGUGAUAAAACAUAUUGAACAGUGAAAUUGAGCUGAAUUAUGUGAUCUCAUCAUUCAGAGAUUGUGUUUGAUAGGUUAUGUUAAUAAAUUAUGUGUAUGUGAAUUUAAGUGACAGAAAUUAAACAGCUAAUGAUAUUGAGCUCAUUUACAUGAAUCUGUCAUUUGAAAUUGUGAUUGACAGAAAGAAAUAGUGAAUUGAAUAUGAAAAUGUGAAUAGAAAGCACAAACUAAAUGUUCUUGCGAUAAAUAAUGGCUCAAUGUGAUAGUAAAUGAUGUUAAUCUAAUGAAAGUUAAAUUGAAUUGUAAAUGACUUGAAUUAUCCGAAAAUGUUCUAUAAUCUCUGGUAAUGUCUCGGAACCCUAUUUCGGUGACAGAUACGGGUAAGGGGUGUUACACUUCCCCUGGCCACCUUGCCUAGCCUUGUAAAACAAAAUAGAAGAAGAAGAUAGAAGCGAAAAUAGCAGGGGAUAGCAGAAAAUAGUAGCAUAAUCGGCUGUAAAAGCCCCAAUGAAAUGUAAUUUAUUUUUUUUCUACGGAUAAUCAAAUAUUAAGAGAACAAAAUAUCAAUCGAAAAUCCUGAAGGUUUACUUCUACUGUUGUUUUAAGUUUUGGUUCAUUUUUAUUCUGCCUUUUAUUUUUCAUUUUUUUACAUACAAAGAAAGGAAAAAGAAACAGAAAUAAAAUACCAUAGUUUUAAAACAACAAAGGAAUUUCUUUGCAUAUUUAUCGAAAAUAGAGCAUAUAUACAUAGAUAUAUUCAAAAAAACACAAGUUUUUUUAACCUCUGUUGUGACUGAAGAAGGUGGAACCAAAUGGUUUUUUUUCGCCUUUUCUGAAUUUCAAAGGGGUUUCUUAGGAUUUUAACCUCGGAUUGAGAUUUGGGAGGCCGAAUAGGUCGAAAAGGGGCCUUUUUUUGAACUCCGGUCGACGUAUACGGCGGCAUACGGUGGUGGAUGACGGUGGACGGACGGUUGCCCAGUGACUAGGGUACAGCUAGACCACGACCGGAGGAAAAGGGAUUGAGAGAGAAUCCCCUGAUUUUUUUUGGAAAAAGAAGAAAAUGAAAUUUUUAAAAAAAAAUUGACUUAACUAGGGCCCCUAAACGGCGCCAUUUAGGGCUGGUCAUAAUAGCCCUAAAACGAUGUCGUUUUGCCCAAGACCCGCGCAUGUGACCCGACCCGCCAGAGGAUCCGCGUGUUUUUAACUUUUGGGCUAUUUGCGCUUUAGGCCCUUCAUCAUUUUUGGUCUAUUUCAAUUUAGUCCUUUUGCAUUUUUUCUUUAUUUUUUAAUUUAGACCACAGAUUUGUCUCGGUUUUCAAUUUGGUCCUCAAUUCGUUGGACCCCUGGGGAGGAGAUGCGUGGCCUGGAAAACUGGUUUAUUACCCAUUUGGCCCUCCUCCCUCUCGCGCUCUUUCAUUUUGGUCUUUCUUUAUUCAUUUUAUUAUAGCUUUGACCUUUAAAUUUCAUUUUUAUCCCGAGUUAGUCCAUCUUUGUUAUUUUUGUUAUAUUAUUAAUUAAUCUAAUUAUUAUCAUACUUAUAUUUUCUUUUUAUAUUUACUUAUUAUAUUAUUAUAUUAUACUAUUAGUUUUGUAUUAUUAUUAUUAUUAUAUUAUUAUUAUAUUUAUAUUUAUAUUUACUUAUCUAAAUUUUAAAUAUAUUUUGUCUUAGUAUAUAUUAUUAUGUAAUUACUUAUAUCUUUUGUAUUUUUUUAACUCUAGAUUAUUCGCUAUUCUAUUAUUAAUAUUAUUAUUGUUAUUAUUUACUUAUUUAUAUCCUUUUUAUUUCAAACUUUGUUAUAUAUAUACAUACAUACAUAUAUUAUUUUUUAUAUUUUUAUAAUCUUAUUUAUUUUCAUUAUUGUUAUUAUUGUUUUACUUGAUAUUUAUUUAUUUAUGUGUCCAUUAUUAUUUUAAGAAACAUUUUAGUUCUGUUUGUUUAUUUACUUGUUAUUUUAUGUAUAAUUGAUUUGUCCCCUUUUUUUAUUUAUUUAUCUUAUUUUCGUUGUUGUUGCUCGUAUUAUUUAUGCUUACAUCAUUGUAUUUAUUAUUGUUUUGUUACGCAUAUUAACCCCGUGUUUUAUUUCUACCAUUUCGUGUUAGAUUAAUCUCAUUUGAUGCAUAAAUCAUGACUUUAAAACAAGUAAAACUAGAUAUUUUGAGAUCCGAAAAGGUCGUGCCCUAACUUACGGGGCUUUGAUUUUCUCGAUAAAUUCAAAUACACGAAUCUUUUCAAACAUAAGUUUUUUAAGUGAUCUCGGGAAUUAAUAAAAGAUCGGGUUCUAACUUACGGGACUUGAUUUCUUUUCCAAACCCGAGAUAAUCAAAUCGAAUAUCCUUCAAAUAAAUAAAGCUUUUGGCAUUUAUUCUCGAAUCAAGUAUUUAAAUAUAUUGUGUCCUAACUUACGGGAUAUAAUUCUCUUUCUCGAUUAACGCGAAAUAUGCCCUUUUCUUGAAAACUUUCAGCAUUUUAACAAAGGAUUGUAUUUUGAAUCUUUUCAAAGUUUCCAAUUCUCGACACUAAGACACUAAUUAAUCAACCAGGUACCAAUUUCUAGGCGUUAUGAGGGUGCUAACCCUUCCUCGUAUGUAACCGACUCCCGAACCCAUCUUUCUGAAUUUCGUAGACCAAAAGCGUUGUUUUAAUAAAUCGAACCGUUUUGUUAAAAAUAACCAUUUUUUGAGUUGACCUGAUCACACCUCCUCAAAAAAGGAUUGGUGGCGACUCCCAUAUUCAUUUUCGUUUUAAAAAUCCAAGUCGACCUCUUUUAUCAAAAAAUGGUUUCGACAUAGUUGUUAAGGCUUUUGCCUCUUUCUUUUAUUAAAAAAAAAAGCUGGGCACGAUGAAUCGACCUUAGCUAGUAAAAAACUUCAAUCACCGAAUUGCAUAAAAUUCUAACUUAAAUUCAAAUGCAGAAGCAGGAUCGUUUAUCAAUCCACAAUAUCAACAAAUCUCAAUUCAAACACAAAAUUAACCGGUGAAAAAAAAUAGUUCAACCCAUAAACAUUUACCACAAAGGGAAAUUUGAAACACUUACCACCAUUCCCCUAUCAGAAAGUCUUACCCACAUUCAACAACUAGAAAUCAGAGCUCACCAAAAUGUUUAUGACGAAGCCAUUUUUUUGAAAAGGGUCGACUUUUUAUUUAAAAACGAAAAAGGGAGUCACCACUAAUCAUUUUUAUGAGGUGUGAUCGGGUCACCUCGUAACGGUUUAAUUGAUUAAAAUAAAAAUUUUGGUCUACAAAAUUUAGAAAAAUGGGUUCAGGAGUUGGUUACGUACGAGGAAGGAUUAGCACCCUCGUAACGCCCAAAAUUGGUACCUAAUUGAUUAAUUAAUGUCUUAAUGUUGAAAAUUAAAAACUUGAAAAGAAUUUAAAAUACGAUCCCUCUUUAUUAAUGUUAUUUUUUAGUUAAAAUUUCUUGGAUAAAUCAAAAUGUGUGCUUAAGACUUUCUCGUCCCAAAGUAGCAAAAAUAUUAUGUCCCGUAAGUUAGGACACAACACUUUGAACUUUGGAGAAUGAACUUGCCUUUAUUUUUUAUUUUAAAUCUUAUUAUUUUGAUUUUAAAAGGAUAUUCGGUUAUUUGAGUUCAACGAGAGAAUCGAAACCCCGUAAGUUAGGUACGAUUUCCUGAAUCUCCAAAAUAUGAAUUAUUGCCUAUUCUUUUGAAAAUUUUCCAUUUUUAUGAAAUUGGAUGAAAAUUAAUGAUAUUUAAAAUGAUAUGCAAUAUAAAAUAAAAUAUUAUAAUAACCAUGACGUAAUUACAAAGAUGAAUGCAAUAUUGUUUGGUGGAAAAUGUUUUCCGAAAAAUAUUUUCUGAAUUUUCCAGCGUUUGUUUGGUGGAAAAUGAAUUCCUAAAGUAAAACAUUUUCCAAACACGGGUAAAAUUAGUCCCCAAUUUUUGGAAAACGUCUUACUAAUUUGGAAUCAGUAAGAAAUUUUCCCGUUCUCCCUUCUCUACACUCUCGUUCUCCCUGCCUCUCUAAACCAAUCUUAGGGCUCAUUGAGCUGGUUCCGGGCUAUUUUUCCCCCUUGAUUUCUUCUCCUUUUUAUAAAUUAAUUUGGGGCUUUUCAUCACUGUGUGUUGUUUUUGUCUGGGAUCUCUUGCAUGGGUUUUCUGCUAGUUUGGGUUCUCUGUGCUCAGGCUUUCUACAAAUUCUGCUCUUCCUCUCUUGCUUGGGUCGGGUUUUUGUUACCGUUUUGUAGCCUGUGGCGUUUGGCUUGUCUUGGGCAAACUUUCUUCGCUGACUUUCUUUAGAAAGGUAUAUUUUCUAUUUUCACUUCCAUUUUCUACUUAUUUUUUAGACGCAAAAUUUCUUAGCAAUUCUUUUAUCUUGAACAAACAAUGUUUUGAGGUUUUGGGUCGUUUCAUAAAGUAGAAAAGGAAUCGAACUGUUAAUAUUCUUAAGAUUGAGAAAUUGAGGACACGUUUGGUUCGCUGUAAUGGAAUAGAGGCGUAAUAGUAAUUCAACUGUUUGGUCGAAUGGAAUGGAAUAGAGCUAUAAUAGUAUUCUUGUGUUUGGUUGAAUGGAAUUAUGUUGUAAUAGCAUAAGGAAAAAAACUAAAAUGAGUAUACCCUUAGCAGAAUUUUUUUAGGUAGAUGAUUAUUAUUAUUCUUAUUAAAUUUUAAUAAGAUUAUUAAUAUAAAUAAUAAAUAAUAUAAUCAUAUUUAACAUAAUUAUUAUUAAAUAUAAUUUAAUAAAAAAUAUAUAAUUUAAUAAAAUUCUUAAUAUAAUUAUUCUUAUAUUAAUUUCCUAAAAUCAUAAUAUAUAAUAAUCACUACACCAAAACAGGUUUUUAGCGGCGUUUGGAUAAAAAACGUCGCUAAAAAUUGAGCAUUAGCUGCGAUUUACGUCAAACGCAGCUAAAGAUCGAGCAUUAGUGGCGCUUCCAAGAAAGCGCCUCAAAAAAUGAGCAUUAGCGGCGUUUAUCCAAAAAACGCCGCAAAAAACGUAAACCCAACGGCAUCGUUUUUGACCUUUCGGGGCUUUAGCGGCGCUUUUUCAAAAGCGCCGCUAAUACUCGGGUCUUUAGCAGUGCUUUUCCCAAAAUGCCGCUAAUGCUCUAGUCUUUAGCGGCGCUUUUUCAGAAGUGCCGCUAAUGCUCGGGUCUUUAGCGGCGCUUUGUCAAAAAUGCCGCCAAAGCUCGGGUCUUUAGCAGCGCUUUUUCAAAAAUGCCGCUAAUGCUCGUGUCUUUAGCGGCGCUUAAUCCCAAAUUGAUCCUCCAUACCAAAAUGAGUGGAAAUGAGUUUAAAAGAUGUCCAAAACAUUAACAUUUAAACAUUUGUUAAGAAAUUUUCUUUUGUUUUCAAUAUAAAUGGCUUAAAAAAUGAAAAAAAAGUCUUAAACUUUGUUUGAUUAAAAAUUUUCGUAUAUAAAAAGGAACAUAUUUAAAUUUAUGUGGAUGGUUUUUAUUUAGUUUCAUUAAUAUAGGGAGAUUAAAGAUUGGUGGAGAUUUUACCUAACAAAUUAUUAUAGAAAGAGAGAAGAUGGAUUUAACACCUUUUGAGAAUCCAUUCCCCAAUGAGUUGUAUGGUGUAUCAAUUACGCAUGUAUGAAUAUAUUUUCCUUCCACCAUGUGCUGCCACGAAACUUAGGGCCAAUAUUGUGGAUUCCCGGAGAAUUAGAAGAUAAAAGAAAACCUAUAGGAGAUUCUUGUAAGAGUUACUGGUUUAAGAUUGGUUUUGGAUUUUGUAGGAAAGAUAUGCUGCAUCAAUUACACAUGGGGAUUUAAUACAAGUUGGAUCAUUUUCCUCAUCAGCUAACAUUUUCUUAUGCUAGUUUAGAUCCAAAUCCACACACCCAAUUUUGAUUUGCGCUUCCAUCAAACUAAUUCUUUUUACUGUGAAAAACAUAUUAUUUCAGUAAUAAAUGUUGAAUCAACAUUAUUUUAAUAAUAAAUUAUUUUAUUCCUUUUACUAUAGUAUUUUUUUCCCAUCAUGUUGAUUUAGGUAUAGUUUGGAUAGACAUUGCGUUUACUUGUGUUUAGUAUAAAAACAACAGUGACGAUAAAAUUAGAUAAAAGUGAACUAAUCGCACCGCACUGGCCAUCCAAAUCCAAGUACCAUACUCUUCUUUUAGUUUUUUUUAAACCCUAAAUAAGAAAGACAACCUCAUUUAGCGAAGUCAUUAACCCCUUUCUUAAAUUUCCAUAAUAAAACUCAUACCCUAUUCAAAAACCCUAUUUUAACAAAAUUCAACUAUCUUUGAAUUAUUCGUAACCCUAUAUUUAUAAUACAGACGUGGUGAUCAGUUAGACCUUUAAUUACUUAACAUACUUUUUUUUUAUUGACUAACAUCUCUUGUUUUUAUUGACUCCUUUAAUUUUAAUUUAAUAAUUUUAUAAUUUAAUCUAAAGAGGUCAAAUUCGAAUUAUUUUUUUGAUAUAAUUUUUAAUUUAACAAGAGCUGAAUCAUACUUUAUAGGAUUUGAACCUUGGACGAUAGGUUUGAAGACCCACAUGCUACCGAACUAAACUAAUAUCACUUUCUUAUCAUAAUAAAUAAAAUUGUAAAAAAAAUCCUUUUAUUUUAUAACCCUAAUACAAUACAUUGUAUGUCGUAUAUAUAUAAUAUGAGAAAAUGAUAGAUUGAGCAAAAUUGCAUCAUAGGUUGUGUUCAAAAUUCAAAUUCUUUUUGGUUUAGAGGGUUUUAUGUUUGGUUAGUGAUAAGUUUUUUUUCUUUCGCAUGUGAUUUAUCUUUUCGAUAUGUAGGGUGAAGGAUUUAAAUUGUGGAAUGUUUGGUUUAUAUAAGCAGCUUAAGGUAAGAAAAGAAAAGCAAGAUAAAAUUUGAAAGAUGAUCCCAUUGUUGACUGAUUCAUUUACUGCGAGCUUCUCCCUCAUAUUGUAGCGACACUGAUGUACAAAAUAUUUCAAAGAUGUACAAAUUUUUCGAGUUUAAAAACUACAUUGAGUGUAUUUUCGUAGGAGUUCAGUUGAUUUAAAAACUACAUUAAAUGGUUUAGGAUUUAAGGUUUACUUCAGAUUUGUUAAAUGAUGAAAUUUUAUACAAUAAAUUAAUACUUUUAUAUUUAAAAAUAUUUAAUCUAAAAUAUUCGAUAUAUUUAAAUAUUAGAUUUAAAAAAAUUGAUAAAUAAAUAAAGUCACUUAACUAAUAAUUUUUGGUAGAUAAAAUAAAAAAUUUUUAACAGAGCAAAACGACGUUAUUUUAUCAAUAGAUAAGCAAUAAUGGCGUUUUUUGUAAAAACGCCACAAAAUUUAUUUUACUUAGAAAAAAAUUUGGCGCUGAUUUUUCCCAAAUUUUCCCCCUAAAACCCCUAACUUUGCAAACAAAAUGAAAAAAAGAAGAGGAAAAUGAAGGUACCAAAGACGAUUCAGCACAAAACCUCUCCAAUCUACUUACGAGUUCUACCGUUUGUUUCCCUGGAAAAUAUAUGAGACUUAAUAUUUUCUGUUCCAUUUUUCCUCUUUAUUUUCUAAUUUUGGGUAUUAUUUACUCAGAUCCCCUUUCUUUUUAUUAUUGUUUUUUUUUUCUCUUAUAUUUUAGCUAGAAAUCGACGAUGCAAGUUACUGCUGGUAACAAGUUAUUGCUUAAAAUUCAUCGUAACAAAUCUACUUCAAAGGAAGUUAUUCAUAUUCCUUCGUAUCGAAGCGAAGUUAUUUACGGUGGAACUUGGUUCUCCAGCUCUCGUAAGUUUGUUCCCAGUUUUGUAUUUGCCAUCUAUACCAGGUUUACCUCUCUUACUUCUCUUCGUCUUCAUCUCCCUUUCAUUUAUUCUACCAAAAACGCCUCUUACUUGUCAUUUUUUUCUCACAUAUCGUGCAAGACUCAUUUUUCUUUCUUUAUGCUCUAGUCUUAACAGUGCACUUCAACUGUUCAAUAUAAUGCUUCUUUAUACAAUUUGUUUCUGGUUUUCAGGGGGUGUUGUUUGUAAGAUGUUGAAGCAAGCGAUAUGGAAGGUGUUGAGCAAAAGGGUAGUUUCAGAUUCUGGUGAUAAACUUCUUUUGCCUUGUUUGUACUUGCCCACGACUUCUUUUCACGCUGGACAGGUAGGUACUCUUUUUUUUUCUUUUAACUCUUACUUUAGUUUUUUUUAUGGAUACCCAAUUGUUAAUUUAUUAAAUAAUAAAUCUUUAAUAAUAAACCUAAAUUUAUGGCAUUUGAAUUAUUUGUAGAAUUUGAAUCAUAAAAACAUUGUCAAGUAUCUUGGAUCAUUGAAGACAACAAGAAGUUAGGUUUUGUAGUCUCUGUCUGGAAUUCUUGCUCUGAAGUUUGUCUAUUUUAUACGAGUUGAGUUUUCAUGGUUUGCUGUUGCAUUGUUUCUUCUGUUCUUUGUUUUGUUAUUGGAACUAUUUCCAAUUGUCUGGUUUACUUGAAAUCCGAUAUUUGAUUAAAGGGACCAAGUAGAGAGCACAAGUGAGAGCGAAGGCAGUGCAAGUGAUGAAGUGCUUGUUGUUCCUUAUGAUAACUUAGCACCUAUUUCUUGUGGUAAUAUUUUCUCAUUAUUCUUCUACUUUUGAAUUUAUUGUAUUCCAAAUAUAGCAUCAAGAAAAAUAUAAUAGUACAUUAGAGUUCAGCUUGUAUAAUUUGUUUGGAUUCUUUCUGUCUUGAAGCAGAUAUUACUGAAUCUAAGCAGCUUUUAGAUAAGCUUGUUGUGGUGAAGUAUAAUAGAGCUUUGGGAAAGAAUAUGGGUUUCGUUGGUCCCAAGUAAGCAAUUAUCUAACUUCUGGAAGUUUGAUACUUAUUUUUUUCCAAGAAAAGAGAAGCAUUUCUUGAUGAUUCCAUAGUUAUAUAUUAAAGACUUGCCUCUACAUAAAUGAAUAUAGUUUCUAUGACAUACAUAUAUUUAUGUAUGCUUUUUAUAUAUGCCUCUACAUUCAUAUAUUUAUAUAUGCUUUUUAUAUUGUAUUGUGCCAAAUAAAGAGAAUAAAAGUUUUAAUUAUUGAUAGAUUCUGCUACUUUUUUUAUGUACUUUUUAUUAAAUCACUCUUUAAUCAAAUGUAGAAUUAUAAAAUUAUUAAAUUUUACUAUAAAUAAUUAUCCUUAUAUAAUUAAUUAUUUUAGUAAAUUUUCCAACUAUCAAAACAGAUCACUCCACCAUCCCACGUCAAAAUUUUGUUAAGGGUAGGAGUUGAGAGAGGUAGAUACUUUGAUGAAUAUUUUCUUUUACAUGAUAAUUAUAUACUUCUUUAAGUUUGUUUUGGAUGUUGGGACAAUGUCAGUUGAUGCCGAAAUUUGAUAGUGCUGCAAAUUGAAGUGUUUAAGUGCUGCAAAUUGAAGUAUUUAGUUGCUGCAAAUUGAGAUGUUUUAUCGCUGUAAUUGAGGUGUAUAAAUGUUGUUAAUUGAUAUGUUUAAGUGCUGCAAAUUGAAGUGUUUAAAUGCUGUAAAUUGAAGUGUUUAAGUGCUGCAAAUUGAAGUGUUUAGUUGCUGGAAAUUGAGAUGUUUUAUUGCUGUAAUUGAGGUGUAUAAAUGUUGUUAAUUGAUAUGUUUAAGUGCUGCAAAUUUAAGUGUUUAAAUGCUGUAAAUUGAAGUGUUUAAGUGCUGCAAAUUGAAGUGUUUAAAUGCUGUAAAUUGAAGUCUUUAAGUGCUGCAAAUUGAAGUAUUUAGUUGCUGGAAAUUGAGAUGUUUUAUCGCUGUAAUUGAGGUGUAUAAAUGUUGUUAAUUGAUAUGUUUAAGUGCUGCAAAUUGAAGUGUUUAAGUGCUGCAAAUUGAAGUGUUUAGUUGCUGCAAAUUGAGAUGUUUAACGCUGUAAAUUGAAGUGUUAAAGUGCUACUUUCCAUUGUCACCUCCCCCAUUUCUUUAUGCAUCAAUAACUAUAUUAAUGAAAUCAAGUACUACAAUUAUAUACUAUUGCAGAUGGGGGUUGGAGAAUAUGAUCAAGGGGAAAACAUCAGAUAUGGUGAUUCCUAGCCAAGCAGUGGCUUCUUAGACACCCAACAUUUUGCACAACCAAACAUGACCACAACUUUUAAACCUACAUGUUGAGGUUGCUACACACAAGUCCCUUCCUUUUUUUAGUUUAUGUGCUAUGUGAUGAUUGUGUUUUAAAAUUUAACUUGUUUUAGUUCCUUACAUUCUUAUACGAUUCACACUCAAGGAGCUAGAUUUGGAGCUUAAACUGUCACUGUAAUCAGUAAUUUUUUUUUUGCUUCUUUAAAUGCAUGCUCAUGGAACUACAUCUUAUGCUUUCCUAGAAUUGUAAGUUCAAAUAAGGUGUUGAUCUGCAAUUUAUACAUACAACUUGAGCAAGUUGAUAUGAACUAGUUUCAAUUUUUUUUUUUAAAUGAAAGGAAUGUUAUGUAAUCAAAGGCAAUUUGACUUGUUGCAUGAGAUAUAGUGAAAAACAUUUAUCUUCUUAUUCAUGAAUUUCCAUUUUAAUACGUCUUCAAAUUAAAUUAUACAUUUUUUAAUUGGUAGAAUCUCACUUUUGCUGUUGCUGCAAUCUUUAACCAAAGAAUGGAGUGAUGUAUGUACUGAUAACAGUUCUAAAGGAUUUGUUUAAGCAAGUAAAGAGAUUGGCGUUUUUAUAAUAAUUUAGGAUAGGAAUGGAGCAAAUCCAAAGAAUGGAGUGGCAUUUUUAUAAUAAAUUUUUUUAUUUUUCGUGACCUUUACUAGCGUUUUUGGAGAAAGCGCCGCUAAAGGUCUUGUUUUUUAGCGGCAUUUUUGGGAAAAGUGCCGCUAAAGGUCUUAGUCUUUAGCGGUGUUUGUGGUAAAAGCGCCACUAAAGGUCUUGGUCUUUAGUAGUUUUUGUGGGAAAAGUGUCGCUAAAGGUCCUGGUUUUUAGCGGCGUUUGUGGGAAAAGCGUCGCUAAAGGUCUUGGUCUUUAGUGGCGUUUGGGGGAAAAGCGCUGCUAAAGGUCUUAGUCUUUAGCGGUGUUUGUGGGAAAAGCGCCGCUAAAGGUCUUGGUCUUUAGCGGCGUUUGGGGGAAAGCACCGCUAAAGGUCCUGGUUUUGAGCGGCGUUUGUGGGAGAAGUGCCGCUAAAGGUCAUGGUCUUUAGCUGCGUUUUUUCCGGCUAAAAAAGUGCCGCUAAAAGCCUGUUUUGGUGUAGUGAAUAUAAAAAUAAUAUAUAAUCUCAUUUAUUAUUUUUAAAUCGCAAUACAUAUUUAAUGUGCUAAAAUAUCAUUAGUGAAUCAAAUAAUUUAAUUAUUCUACAAAAAAAUAGAAGUAAUAAAUAACUUGAAAAUUAUAUUUUGCAUAAAUAUAAUAUUCAAAUAUUAACAAACAUACCCUAAAUCAAAUUUCAUGUAUAAUUUUAAAAUUUACCCCAAAGAUUUAGUGUACUUCUUGACCUGAACUUGACAAUUAAGUUUAUUUUAGUACUUGUAUAUUUUUUGUCCACUUUAAUAAUUGAACUUGACAAUUAGAUAUAUUUUAAUCUUUGAACUUGAAAUAUAUAAAAUUUUAUUGACAUAACACUUUAAGAUUGUCUCACAUCAUUAAAUUUGGACGGAAUAUAAAUUCAUAGUCAAAAUAGACCUACUUGUAAAGUUAGAUACUAAAGUAGACCCCAACAACAUAUAUAAGUAUCAAAAUGAAACUAGCUUACAAAGCAAAACUUCGUAUAAAAGAAGAUAAACAAAUUGUGCUACUUGAAGGGAACAACACUGGCACUGGAAAAACAUUCCGUGUUUGAGGACAUAAAAUCUCUUAAGCACUGCGUCCAGGUUAUGAGCUACUCACAGCAACACAGAUCGCUGGGAAAUAGUGUGCCAAAUUACCUUUUGUAUCUCUUCUUGGAACCACAUGGACAGGGAGCAUUACGGCUCAUUUCUCCACUCUUUACCAUAUUAAACUUGGUAAGAUCCAAUGGUGUUAAACCCGUUAGCUUUUGCACCUGCAAAAGAUAAAAAAAAACUAAUGACAUUUCCAAUGGAGAAAGAGAGAGAUGCAUAAACUAAUACUUGUCAUUGAUGUUUUAAACUGUGGGAGAAACAUUCAUCCGAACUCAAAUGCGAAUUUCAGCAACUGAAGAUGAAUGAAGGCAGACAUCUCAGUCUUUUAAGCAAUCUGGCAUUGAACCAAAAAAGCAUAACGCAGAUCAGCAGACCAAACAUCUGUAACUCUAUGUUAGUUCGACUCUUUCUUUUCCUUUAUGCAUCCAUGUUUGAUGCAAGUCUGGGACCAGAAUGAAUAUAGGGAGAUAAUCCUUUAAAAAUCCUCCAAAUACAUUAAAAAACUUGGACAAAAAAUGAACACAACACACCCGUGUCAAACAUAUAUAUCAGACACUCAAACUAUAGUCUGAACAACAAGAUAUACAAUCAUCAUUUUGACUCAGAUAAUAUGCAUAACUAACUCCCCUACCUUCUUAGACAAAUAUCUUACUUAUCUUUCAAAUAGCUCAUCCUACAUUCAACAUCAUAUUCACCGAGCAGCAGCCAAAAGACAAAAAUACAUUAACUUAGAGAAUUUAAGAUCAGACAAAUUGAGCAAUAGGCAUAAAGACACUAGCUCAUACGUUUUAAUCAUUCAACAUAUUAUCAGCAAAAACAUAACUGAAAAAAACCAGUGGUGAACCUACCACAGCAAAGUUCUUUGGCAUCGGUUUGCCUUCCUCUUUCAGCUUAACCAUCUUCUUAUGAACUUCUUUAGCCCAUGUGAACUUCGCAAGCGCAUUCUCAACAUAUAAUAAGGUACAAUCACACUGUUUUGCAGCUUCUUUCUUUUGACUCAGUUGGAGAUUCUAAAAAAAAAGUCAAAAUCUAAAUCCACAAUCAGCGAAUUCACCUACAGGGCUCCAACCAUGUUUUAUAGUUUGGACGAGAAAAGGCAGCACCUUCUUACAUGCAAUGUCAGUGGUCAACAGGACUGGAAUGCUCGCCUGUUUAUCAUGGUGGAAAUCAAAUUCUUAUAUAAAACAUAGUUAACAUUUCUCAGCAUAAAGCCUUCAUCUUUUGUGCAAACAAAUUUUAAAUUAACAGAACUCAACUAGUCGAAAUCACAAGCCAUUCAAAAAACAAUAGAAUCAGACAAACAUGUAAUAGAAUAAAAAUUUUCAUCUGUUCAAUCUGUUCAAUCGAACAAACAUUGAAAACAUUGAAAGAAUUUUCAUCUGUUCAAUCGAACAUGCAAUACAAAGAAAAGCUGAAUGGAAAACGCUAGAAACGAAUCAAAAUUAGGAGAACAAAAACAAAUAUUCCAGAUUUGAGCAAAAGCAAAACUAAAUCGAUUUUACAGAAAAGAGAAGAAAAGAAAAACAGGGAAAGAGUGUGAGAAUUUUUCGUUGUUGAUAAAAUGGAGAAAAGAAAAAAAACGAGAGAAGAAAAGAAAUGUACGAGAAUAAAAGAAGCAGAAAUCGAUGGAAGGGAAAAAAUUACCUUGCAAAACGUCGGAGAGGAUGAGCGCAGAAAACGAAAAAGAUGGUAACAAAUUGGGAGGGAAUCCCUAUUCCGCGCUUAAACAUCAGAAUGGCUAUUACAGCCAACGUGGGUAAUAGAUGCGGAACGGAACCAAACAUCCGUUUGGUGGUGGGCCUAGGGAAUUGGGGGGAAUGCAUACCGAUUCCCCCCAACCAAACAUACCUUGAGUUUGUUCUCUUAAGAGGAAAUGGUAAUGAGGUGUAAAAGCCAAGAGGAAAUGAUUAUCUUUACCGCUAGAAAUGAACAAGGUAUGUUAUUCAUAUUUUUCUCCGGAUGCAGGUUUUAAUUGGGCAAUAGUUUUACUUUUGUUAUAGCUAGAGGUUUUACUUGUCAUGCAUCUUACUGCAUUUGGUUAGUUUUAUGUUUUAUUGUUUUAUCUUUCUGGCAUUUUAUAUUUAGUUCUCCUAUUUUUUUAGACAAUUUCUGCAACAUUGGUUUCCUAUGACGUGAUAGUAUUUUUUUGUUGUAGUAGUGAUAACAUUUGUGGUUGGCAAGAUUCCUUUAACACGGUUUAUCUGGAAAGGUCUAUCUUUGGGUUGCUGAUAGUGUCACCGAGUGAAAUAAAUGCUAGUUGUGGCUCUUAUGAUUACAAACUAUUAGCUUAUUGGUAAAUUGAAUGUUCAGAUGUCAUGACUGAUGUAAAUUCACAUACUUUUAAACAUUGUGCAUCUUCUAAUUUUAUGAAUUUUAACAACAAAAAGUUUUCUAUACAUAAUGAUUAUUUGAUUACUGUAUGUUUGAUCUUGGAUUUCUGUUGCUAAACAUGAAUUGGAAUAAAAUGAAUGCUAGUUGUUCAUUUGAAUAACAAGAAUGAAAUAAAUGCUAGUCAAGGCCUCUAAAAGACUAAUUUAGUAAUUUGGCUGAAUUGAACCCUUAUAUCAUUAGGGAAUAUAACAGAAGAACUACUAAUAGUUUGAAUAGAACAUAAUGAACUGAUUAAUAAUACAUUUAAGAGGUAUGUUAGUAGCUGCUAGUCUCUAGUUCCUUGAGAGUUUGGUUGUUCAGAGUGUCGUCUAGGAUUGUAUUCUGUGCUGUCCAUGCAAGUGUAAUAAGAUUGACUAAGGUCUUUUCCCUUUGAAAUUGUUGAUCACUCAAUUAAGCUCAGUUGACCGGCUAUCAUGUCCUUGCUCAAUUAAGCUCUGCCAUAACUGCACGAAAGAACAACAAUUCCAUACACUCAUUACAAAGAAUACAAGUAGUGGAGUUCACGGACUAGACAAUUAAAGAGAACUUUACACAUGUAACCAAAUUCACCAAUAUGAGCAUUGAUAUCUCAUUUUUAUGAGAUCUUAUUAGAUUAUUGAUUAUGAAUAUGUUUACUCGAUCAUUUCAAGAUCAUGGUUUCAUUACAUGGAGUUGUUUGAUGGUGAAGGCAAUAAUACAUUUUUAAGAUUACUGCAGCCAAAAGAGUUGUUGCAAAGGAGACCAAAGUCCAGAACUCUUUUUCUUUUGUGCUUCCACAACUGAGUUCUCCAUUACCUCAACUUUCAGCUUCAAAUCUUGAGCUACUUGUCUCUUUCUGUCAUUGAUUGUUACUUUUAUGUGGUCUAAUAUUAGUUAUGCACUUGGACAAUGUUGUUGUUAUUAUGUGGUGUACUACUAAUUAUGCAUUUGGAUAAUAUUAUUAAUUUCUAGUAUUAAUUGUGGUUUGGAAGCUAAUUUAUAAUUAUUCAAUCCUUAUUUUUUAUUUUUUAACACAAUUAUAAAUAAUUUAUUUGACUUUGGUUGUUUUCAAUUUAUGACGGUUAAUAUUGUAGCUUAAUAAUUGAGUAUUUUGAUUUAUUUAUUUAUAAAUAAAUCAUUUCAAUAUAUGUAAAAAUAAUUUAAAAUAUAAAAAUUUAUUAAUAUGUAUAUAAAUUUAUUAAUAUAUGUAAAAACAACUUUUUCGGAAAAUAUUUUCAGGAAAUCUACCAAACAACAAAAAAUAUUUUACACAGAUUCAUCCAAACACUAGAAAAUAUUUUCAGUAAAUCAUUUUCCAGAAAAGUAAAUCAUUUUCAGGAAAUCAUUUUUCGAAAAACAUUUUACUGGCAAACAAACGAACCCUUAUUGCUCAUGGUCAUCAACCUAUAAACCCAAGAGCAUUAUUAGCUUCUAAAUCCAAAACACUAAUAUCAGCAUCCAACCCAACAAUGAUAGUCUUAUUGACUCAUUUAAACAAGUUUCCUUUGUCAAUCUAUAUUCUGUAUUUGGUAAUCUCCAAUAUGAUUUCAGAACAUACGAUAGUUGGAAGAAGAAUAGCAGCAAAGAUGCAAAGGGAAAUGACUUAUACGAGGAGGAAGAACCAUCUUUUGGGUGCAAACCUGUAUACCAUAUAAUAGGAUGUCCUGUAUAAUGUCACGAGAGCUAGUACCGUUGCCAAGCAGUAAUUACUAAUGCUAAUAUGAUGAACAGAAAAGGAUCCAGCCGUAAGAUAGUAUGGAUACUGAAAUGCGAGUGUCCGUAUGGAAACAGCAACUAAAAGCAUGUAACAGGUCCCAAAACAGGUCCCAAACAAGGAAAGUGUUAUGAGAAUCACUACACCAAAAUAGGCUUUUAGCGGCGCUUUUUUAGGCCUUUAGCAGCGCUUUUUAGCGCCACUAGCGCCGCUAAAAACGCCGCUAAUGACAGUGUCGCUAACUUUAGCGGCGCUUUUUCCACAAACGCCACUAAAGACCAAGACCUUUAGCGGCGCUUUUACCACAAACAUCACUAAAGACCAAGACCUUUAGCGACGCUUUUCCCACAAACGCCGCUAAAAACCAUGACCUUUAGUGGCACUUUUACCACAAACGCCGCUAAAGACCAUAGCUUUUAGCGGCGCUUUUCAAACAAACGCCACUAAAAAUAUAUCUUUUAAAAAAAUUAAUUUUUUUCAAAUAAUAUUUAUUUCUAUAAUAAAUAUUAUAUUAUGUUUUAAGGAUAAAUAAAAAAUAUUAUUUAAAUUAAAUUUUCUACAAAAAUUUUAACUUUAAAACUAAAUAUAAAUAUAAAAAUUAAUGAAUUUAAAUUUAGAAUUUAAAAUAAUAAAUUAAUAACACAAUUAAAAUCCAAAAGUUAGAACACUUAAGUAAAAAUAAAAAUUUAGAAUCAAAACUAAAAUAAAUGAUACAUAUGCAAGGUAAUAAAAUAUACAAUGCAUUUUCUUAAUCAAGUAAAUCUUGGUUACAAAACUAACACAGAAAAUAACACAGUAUACAGUAUGUUUUGUCUUUCACAUUUUAAAAAUAAUAAUAAUAGCAUGUUUGUUUGCAUGCUACCAUGAUCAAAACACAAAAAUGAAGUUCUCCACCUAAUACAAAUUUCUCCUACGAAUGUGCAGAAUCAGAUCUCUAGAUUCUCGGAGUUCUUCAUCUGGUGCUGUCUCGAUGGUUUUGAUUAUUGUGUCAUCUAGCUGGAUUCAAAAAAAAGAAUAGAAUGCAAAGCAUGUUAUACAUUUGGACUCCAAAUUUUUAGCAACUCAAAAGAAUGCUAAGAAUGUUGUCCAACCUUCCAGUACUCACAAGGAUCUUGAAUAAAAAUGAAAUCAGACCUCACCACUUCAUAUAAGAAGCCUACACAACUAAUUACACAAAAGAAAAAGAUGAGAAAAAAUAACAAUGUAAAAAAGACGUUUGAAUGAGAUAAUAUAGAACCCAGAGUUAACUCUGUGAAUACCUUCACUUUAGAGUGGGUGUACACAGUUCGAUAAAGAUCAGCACGAGUAGCAAAUAACUUGUGGAUACUAAGAUCUAGCAAGAGCACCCAUUACCAUUAUUAAGGAGUAAAAAAACACUAAAAGAACUAAACAUGUAUUUUGCAAGUAAAUGAAUUAGAUGAUACUAACAGUCUUUAGCACGAUAGCAGAUCUCAUCACCCAAAACUCGCAGUCUCCAUGAACCUGCAGGUGGUGUAGUAUGUAUAUUAAGUUUCACUUACUUAUCCACAUCAAUUCCAUUCUAACCAUUUGCAACAAUAUCAUAUAAGAAUUGCUUCUCCUUUGCACUCUUCAAAGUAAGCACAAAAUAGUGUAUGUGUUAGAUAAAGAAAAGAAACAAAGAAUGUUUGUACUUCAUACUGGAGCAAAAUAUAAAAAAUCCAGUGAUCAACAUGUGCCUACACUUAAAAUAUAAAAAAUCUAGUGAUCUACCGAAAUUAAACUAUUCAUCAAAAUGAUUGCAAUUAACUGAGUUAAAACAUGAUUUUUUUUCUUUUCUUGCAAAUAUCUAAAGUUUUUUAUACCUUCCCAAAUGGUGAAACAAGCUGGUGAAGUGCUGUAAUUCUGUCUCCUAAUUUUUCUUUCCUCACCUGCCAUAUAACAUAUAUAUGUAUAUAUACAAGUCAGAAAAAAAGAAAAAGUAGGUGAUUAAUUUACUAUUUUACUUUCACUUAAACUAUAUUCUCUUUUUCAUACAUUAAUAGAAUAUGAUAGUUACAGCAAAAAAAAAAGAAAAAGAAUCAUCCCUCUAGAAAUCGACAACCAAACAAGGACAACAGUUUUUACCACCCCACAUGUAUUUUGUGUAUGUGUAUAUAUAUAUAUGCUUGUGAGUGUGCGUGUGCGUGUGCGUGUGCGUGCAAUCUGUAUUGAGAUAAAAAAAAACAUAUAUUUAAUUAUAUAAAAAUUAUGAUAAAAGUAUCAUGGAAGUCCCUGUACUAAAAGGUGGAUUACAUUUUGCCCUUUUACUCAAAUGGUUUAAUUUAAACACUCAUUCAACAGCUAUUACCUAAAAUGCUACCACUUUUGAGGUAUAAAAUCAGUGGAAGUCUAAAUGAACAAAGUCCUAAGCCAAUCAAAACAAAGUCACCAAGAAAUGAAAAAACAAUCUGUUCUUAUCCUUUCGAAACAGUGACCAAAUACAAUGAAUUCAAAAGGUUGUCCUUUUCAUAUCUGCUUAUCAACCAAAUACGCAAUGAGAAAAAAAAAUCAUGAUCCGCCAGCAGAAAAGCUUGAAAUUUGAAUGGAUCAAAUGAAACAUAAAUCUAAUGUAAAACACACCUGGAGAAAGCUUAAAAGAAGAGCUUUGAUGAGAUUUUCUGGUGUGAGCUCUGGCUGACGCUGCUGAUAUCUUCCUUCUAACUUCCCCAUUAUCGUCCCUCAAAACCCAAUAAUCUGUAAAACGAAGACUCCCCCAAAUUACUUCAGAUGUCUCUCUUAAAUUCUAUUUAAAAAAAUUAAAAAUCUAUAAAAAAAAUCAGUUACUAUAAAAAAAAGAGAUAAGUGUGAAUUAAAAAUAUAAUCCCAAAUACUGAUUCAAUUGCAGACUGGGAUUUAUUUCUUACCUCAAAGGUACAGCAAUGGUUGUAACCUCUGUAACCUGUUUGUGAAACCUCUGUAACCUGUUUUACUAGUAAAGCCGAUAAUAAUCCAGAAACUGGUUGUAACCUCUUUGUAUUUGCCUGGGAAACCAGAAAUCUUCUCAUUAUCAGCAUAUGUUGAUUUUUUUUAUAAUGUCGCAGGGAGGGAGGGAGGGACAGAAAGCAAGAGAGACGGCGAAGAGUUUUAGGAGGGAAAAUUAGGGGUUUCGGGGAAAUUUGGGGCUAAAAUGGGGGGAGAAUUUUUAAAAGUGAAAUUAGGGUUUUUAGAGGGAAAUUUUGGGAUAAAACGGCGCCAAGUGAAAUUAUUUUUGCGACGUUUUAAAAAAAAAGCCGGGAAUGUACCUUUUGUGGAUUUUUUUUGAAAACGUCACUAACAAAUUUAAAUUCUUUUAUUGAAAUGACGUCGUUUUGAGAAAUAUUAAUACAUAGUAACGGCGUUUUUUGCUAAAAACGCCGCUAAAGCUCUCAUAUUUUUUAUAUUCAAUUAUUGUAUCUUUCAUAUAAAUUAUACAUAAAAGAAUUAUUAAAAUUUUAAGUAAUAUUUAAAAGAAUUAAAUAAUAUUAUAAAUUUAGUUUUCUUAUUUCAUUUUUAUUUUUGUAUUUUUUUCUUAUAAUUUGGUCCUAUCUAAAUUAAAUAAUUACCUAUAUAUCCAUAUCAAAUAUAUCAAAUGGUUUAAAUUAAAUAUUUUUAAAUAUAAAAGCAGUAAUUAAUUGUAUAAAAUUGUAUCAUUUAACAAAUCUCAAAUAAACCUUAAACCCUAAAUUAACCAUUCAAUAUACAUAAAGUCUAUCUAUUAUAUAUCUCUUACAUAAUAUAAACUAUACUCAUAAUUUCAAUAUAUUAAAUUUAUUAUUAUCUCUUUUACAAUUAUAUAAGAACAUAUUUAAUAUAUAAAUUAAAAAAUCAAUUAAUCUAAACCCUAAACCUUAACCCGACCCUUGAAACCCUAAAUCCCUAACUCCUAACCCCUAACUCUUAACCCCUAAACCUUAAAUCCCAACCCUUAAACCAUAAUCCCUAAAUCUAUAUAUAAUCCCCGAACCUUAAAAUAGUAACUCCUAAACUGGCUUUAAAUAUUAAAUUAACCAUAUACCGUAAACCAUAUAAACCCUAAACUAUAAUGAUAAUUAAUUAAAUAUUUUAAAAUUAAUACUAUCUUAUCUUUUUCAAUUAUAUAUGAAAUUAUUUAAUAUAUAAAUUAAAAAACAUCAAUAAAAUAUAAAUUAAAAUGCUUUUUUUUGGAUAAUUUAAUGAAUAUGGCAGGAUUAACUCUAAACCCCUAACCCCUAAAUUCUAAACUUAGCCCUAAACCUUAAACCCCAACCCUUAAACCAUAAACCAUAAACAAUAAUCCCUAAACUAUAAUGAUAAUUAAUUCAAUAUUUUAAAAUUAAUACUAUCUCUUUUACGAUUAUAUAAGAUAUUUUUAAUAUAUAAAUAUCAAACACGUCAUAGACACUUAAAACUUUGAGAUAGUUAUACUAUUUUUUAUUUCACUUAUAGGAACCUCAUACACUCAAGCACUGCAAGUCUUUUGUGAAUUAACCAAUGGUUAUGAAGAUCUACUACUUACGGUUAUCAAUGCCAGCUGGAAUCACAAAUAUUAACAAGAAUCAGACAUAGAUAGCAAAAUUAAUCAAGCACUUUCAAGGGACAUUCUAGCAGUUCUUUAAAGAAAUGGAUUUCAAUCCAAAAUUCAACAGUUCUGUAACUAGCCUAGCAGACAGAUGGAAAAAUAAUAUUUAUUUUAGAGAUCAGUCUACCUCUUAAGUGGAAUAACUUUCUAUAAACUUUAACCUUGUGAACUUUUUUAUUAAUAUAUUUCUUCUAAUACUUCUUAGAGAUAAUCACAGUCAAGAGAUUCAACCAUUAAGAUUCAAUGGAUGGUUAAUAUAAGACCAAACAAAGACAAUGCAUCUAAUUUAAUAAGCUCAGCAGUGCUCACGAAUAAAGCAAAACAGUGUAUAAGAAAUUAUUUAGUAUGUAAAUUAAAAAACACUCAGUAAUGUACCCAAAAAACUUAAAAACUAUUUUAAAUAAUAGUAUUUUAAAUCAUGUACCCAAAAAACUUAAAAAUAUUUUUUGCGGCGCUUUUUAAAAAACGCCGCUAAAAAUAGAGCAUUAGCGGCGCUUUAUCAAAAACGCCGCUAAAGACCAGAGCAUUAGCGGCGCUUCUUCAAAAAUGCCGCUAAAGACCCGAGCAUUAGCGGCGCUUCUCCAAAAACGCCGCUAAAGACCCGAGCAUUAGUGGCGCUUAUUCAAAAACGCCGCUAAAGACUCGAGCAUUAGCGACACUUCUUCAAAAACGCCGCUAAAGACCCGAGCAUUAGCGGCACUUCUUCAAAAAUGCCGCUAAAGACCCGAGCAUUAGCAGCGCUUUUCGAAAAAUGCCGCUAAAGCCCUGAAAAAUCAAAAAACGAUGUCGUUGUGCUUGGGUUUUUUGCGACGCUUUUUGAAAAAUGCCACUAAUGUUCAUUUUUAGCGGCGUUUUCCAAAAAACGCCGCUAAUACUGGAUCUUUAGCGGCGUUUUUCCUAAAGCGCCGCUAAUGCUUGAUUUUUAGCGGCGUUUUUUGUUCAAACGCCACUAAAAACGCCGCUAAAAGCCUAUUUUGGUGUAGUGAAUAAACAAGUAGAUUGAACGGCUGGGUAGGAGAUAGGCUGUUAAAACAGUUGUUGCCCAAAAGGUUAAAGUGUUGUAUAACCAAAACAUUGUGCACACGUUUAGUAUAGGUUCUAUUUUUUUUUCUUCAGCGGGUGGAGGACUUGGUACGGGUCCAGUGCUGGUUAAACCUAAAGAUGCGUCAUACUUGAGUUGGAAAUUCUGGGAAUUUGAAAUGGUACCAGGCUGCUUUGGAGGGUUCAAAGUGGCAGUGUAUGUGGCUGUUAUAAUUAGCACUGUGACUACUAAAAAUGUGUUACGCAUCUCAUGUGGGAUUCCCUUUGUUGACACCAUUUUUUUUAUAAAACAAGGUCGACUUGGGUUUUAAAAAUGAAAACAAACACGAGAGUCGCCACCAAUCCUUUUUGAUAAGGUGUGAUCGGGCCACCUUAAAAGUGGUUAUUUUUAAUAAACAAUUUAAUUUUAUUAAAACAACGAUUUCGGUCCACGAAAUUCAAAAAAUCGGUUCAGGAGUCGUUUACGUACGAGGAAUGAUUAGCACUCUCGUAACGCCCAAAAUUGGUACCUAGUUGAUUAAUUAACGUCUUAAUGUUGAAGGUCGAAAGAUUUUAAAAUACGAUCCUUAUAUUAAAAACUUGGAUAAAUCAAAUUAGCCGUUAGGACCCUCUCAUUUCAGAGAGAGAAAAUAUUAUACCCAAUGAGUUAGGGCAUGAUAUUUCACCUCUUCAAAAAUGUGCUUGUCUAAACAACUCGUACAGUAAAAUUUAAAAGGAUAUUCAAUUGUUUAAGUCAGGUGAAAAAAUUGUAGCCCAAUACGUUAGGGCACAAUUUCUCAAAAUUCUAAACAUUGAAUAUUGCCUUUAUUUAUUUUUUAGAAAAAUUCACGUCUCGAGAAAACAACGUGUCAUAUCCAAUGCGUUAGGAUUCAACGUAUUGAAUUCCCGAUAAUGAGUUUUUAUUUAUGUUUUUGAUUAAAGAGCAUUCUCGAUUAUUUAGAUUCAACGAAGAAAAUUAGAACCCAAUACGUUAGGGCUCAAUCCUCUCGAAAAUCCCAGAUAUUGAGUAUUGCUAUUAUUUUAGAAAUUUUCCUUUUUUCCAAAUCUGAGUAAAAAUUGAUGUAAUGGAAUAACAAUUAUGAUAAUAUAAGUAAAAAUAAUAAGAGCAAAAACAAAAAGAUAAAUAAAUAAGAAGACAAAUAUUAAUAUAUAAAAAAAUCAUUCAUGUAUACACAAUAAACAAGUAAUAAGCAAAUAAAAGUGAAACAUUCUUUUAAAAUAAUAAUGAAAGCGUAAAUAGAUAAAUAAAUAAAGAAAAUGAAUAAAAUUAUAAGAAUGUAAAAAGAUAUAUGUAUGUACAUAUAUAUAUAAAUUAUAAGAUAUAAUAAGAAAUAUAUAUAAGCAUGUAUAUAUAUAUUUAUAAAAAUUAAAAAAUAUGUAUAUAGAUAUAUAUAUGCAUAAAAAUUAUAAAUUAUAAAAUAUAAAAAAAAUAUAAGAAUGUAUAUAUAUGUAUAAAUUAUAAAUAAGUUAUAAAAAUAUGUACGGGUAUAGGUAUAUAUAUAUUAUAAAAAUGUAUGUAUGUGUAUAUAUAACAAUAUAUGCAUGUGUAUAUAGAUAACAAAAUUUGAAGUUUAAAAAGUAUAGAUAAUAAUAUUAAUGAUGUAAUAUAAUAAUAAUAAUAUAUUAAAAUGAUCAAUUUAAUAAUAAAUAACUAAAAUACCAAGCAGAGGACUAAAUCGAAACUAAACAAAACUUUAGGGCCGAAAUCAAAAAUGAAGAGUAGAGAAAAGGACUAAAUCAUAACGCGUCUGAAAGGAAAAGGACCAAAAAAGAAAUAAACCAAGUCACCCAAAACGCAGCGUUGCAAUGGACUAAAAUGAAAUCAGUGAGAAAUUAUGCAGUCCAAUUUGAAGAAUAAAAAAAAUCAAAUUAAAACAAAGUGCAAAGGUGGAGGGCUUAAUGCGCAAAUAUCCCUCCAAAGUAAAAAAACACGCGGAUCCUUCUCAGGGUCGGGUCACUGCGCGGGUCAGGGCUAAAACGGCAUCAUUUUGGCUCCUGACCCUAAACAGCAAAACGCCGCCGUUUAAUAACCUUUAUUUAAAACAUAUUUUUUCUUAGAAAAAAAAUCAUUUUUUAGGGUUUUAGAAUAAAAUUGCAGAGGAAGAAACUCUCCUGUCGUCAGCCGAAUGGGCCACCAUCGGCCCCGCCGUGGGCGGUGGGCAGAAGGCCAAAAGUUGGGUUUUUUAAACCCCGCUUCAAGGGCCGUCUGAAGAUCGAGUUUUCAUGACCCUAAGGCCAUAGGAAGAAACCCCAAACGUCGCCUUCCCCAUCCGCUUUCGGUGACUCGAAGGACUCCGGUGACGACACUUACACGGCGAUUCAGGUAUGUUUUCCUUUCUCUUUUUAUUCUAUUUAUUUCGUAUGUAAAAAAAAAGAAGAAAUGGACCGAGAGAAAAAGCCAAUCGGAAAAUGUAAAAGGAAUCACCUUUAAAACUGUUUUCUUUUUUUAUUUCUUGAAUGUUCGUGGAAAAAAAAAGAAAAAAGACCCCCUUACAGAUGUAAAGAUCGGUUUUUAAAUCGAUUCUCCCCCCAAAAAAAUACAAAAAGUUUUUUUUUUAUUUCUUUCUAUUCUUCCUGUCACUGCUUCGGUUGCUUUGCAAGUACUUGAUGGUGGCAAGUGGCGGUGGGUAGGUGACAGAGGGCAAGUGAGCGGCGAUGUGACAAUGGCGGCUAAUCAGGGCAAGUGGGCGACAGAGGCUGCGACGCUAGGCUAGGGUUUCAGAAAAUUGAAACCCUAGUUUGACUGGGUUUGUUGGGCUGGUUUUUGGUCUGUAUUUGGGUUGUUUGUUUGGGCCAAGUUUGGGUUGAUAUGGUUAUAAUGGGCCCUUUGUAAUUUUUUGGGUUUGCCUGGGCAAAAUUCGGCUGUACACCCUUCUUUCCACGACUUGCUAUUGUUGCAAAUUUUUGAAGACUGACACCUUUCCUUUUAAAGAUUCGAUGUGGAAUGAAGAGAUGGAGGCUUUGGGAAGCGAGGAAGAGGAACCACUCAAACCUCCUGCUUUGCUUAUCAUGUCUUUAAUGGACUCCUUAUCGUCCACUCUCCCUUCAUCCAAUGGGUAUUGUGAUGGGAUAUCAAGUGCAGUCAAUCCCUUAGCAUUUUUGCAUUGAUAUGGUCAGCACACAAGCGUUUCAACAGUAAUUUUACCACCUGUUAAUUAGAAUAUUCAUACAAGUAACCUUUGAGUAUAUAUAUACAUAAAUAAUUUCACUUGCAAAAUUAUCAUACCUUAGGUCUGUUUCUGAUAGCAGCAACAUGUAAAACAAUGUUGCCAUCAAUGUCUGCCCAACUCAGAAGUUCUUUCUCCCAACAGUUGGCAGCUUUAUGGCGGCUCCUUAUAAGCCACCCCACCAAGACUUGGAAAGCUUCAAACCUGUCAUUUUUUACAUGAUUCUUUACAUGUUUUUGGUUCCACUGCAUAUUAUCAUGUAAAAGAAUCUAAGUUAGACCCAAGAGCAAAGAAAGCAUUAUUCAUGGGUAUAACUGGUGGAGUAAAAGGAUACCGUCUCUGGUGUCCUGAUACAAGGAAAAUUAUUUUCAGUAGAGAUGUGACUUUUGAUGAAUCAACCAUGAUGAAGAACAAUGAUUCACAAAAGGAUAACACAACCAAUGGCACUUUGCAGCAGGUGGAGCUUGAAAAGGUUAAUGAUGAUCCAGCUAAUAUUGAAGGAACAAAUGAUGAAGAAGUUUCGACCCAAGAACUUCUACAGCAACAUGAUUCAAUUGCAUAUAGAAGGCCAAGAAGAGAGAUUUGUAUGCCUGCUCGCUUUAAUGAUAUGGUGGCCUAUGCACUUCCAAUUACAGAUGAUGAUGUUCCUUCUACUUACACAGAAGCAAGAAGUAACCCUGAUGGUGUAAAGUGGAAGCAAGCUAUGAAUGAAGAAAUGCAGUCUCUUCAUAAAAAUAGGACUUGGGAGUUGGUGACACUACCCAAAGGAAAGAAGGCAAUUGGAUGCAAAUGGGUAUAUUCAAAGAAGGAAAGAUUUCCUGAUAAAAAUGAAGUUCGAUACAAGGCUAGAUUGGUAGUAAAGGGUUACGCUCAGAAAGAAGGAAUAGACUACAAUGAAGUAUUUUCUCCAGUUGUGAAGCAUUCGUCUAUUCAGAUUUUGCUAGCCUUGGUUGCGUAAUAUGAUCUUGAACUAGUUCAGCUCGAUGUGAAGACCACAUUUUUACACGGUGAUUUGGAAGAGGAAAUCUAUAUGACUCAGCCAGAUGGAUUCAAGGUUACUGAUAAAAAAAAUUGGGUUUGCAAACUGACAAAGUCACUUUAUGGAUUGAAACAAUCUCCGAGGCAGUGGUACAAGAGAUUUGAUCAGUUCAUGAAAGGGCAAAGGUAUACAAGAAGUAAAUUUGAUCAUUGCGUGUAUUUUUAGAAGCUACAAGAAGGAUUUUUCGUAUACUUGCUCUUAUAUGUUGAUGAUAUGUUGAUAGCAUCUAAGAGUAAAGUUGAAAUUGAGAGAUUGAAGACUCAACUCAACCUUGAGUUUGAGAUGAAAGAUCUAGGUGAAGCUAAGAAGAUCCUUGGCAUGGAAAUAUGUAGGGAUAGAGCUCAUGACAGAGUUAGUUUGUCUUAGAAGCAAUAUUUAAAGAAGAUACUACAGAAGUUUGGCAUGAACGAGCAGACUAAAGUUGUAAGUACCCCGUUGGCUUCUCAUUUCAAGCUUUCUACACAACUCUCUCCUUCGACAAAUAUGGAACAAGAAUACAUGUUACAAGUUCCGUAUUCUAAUAUGCAAUUGUGUGUACAAGACCCGACAUUUCACAGGCAGUUAGUAUAGUGAGCAGGUAUAUGCAUAAUCCUGGAAAAGGACAUUGGCAAGCUGUGAAAUGGAUUCUACGGUAUAUUCAUAAGACCAUGGAUAUUGGAUUACUGUUCAAGCAGGAUACUACACUUGGUAAAGGUGUUGUUGGGUACGUUGAUUCUGAUUAUGCCGGUGAUUUGGACAAACGGAGAUCAACCAUUGGUUAUGUGUUUACUCUUGCUGGAGGACCAAUAAGUUGGAAGUCUACACUGCAGUCUACAGUUGCGUUGUCAACCACAUAAGCUGAAUACAUGGCUGUAACAGAGGUUGUAAAGGAAGCUAUUUAGUUACAAGGUAUGGUUAAAACCUUGGGUUGGUUCAGGAGCAUAUUAAUGUGUAUUGUGAUAGUCAAAGUGCUAUUCAUUUAGCAAAGAAUCAAGUCUAUCAGGCACGUACAAAGCAUAUCGACGUACGUUUCCAUUUUGUGCGGGAAAUUAUUGAUAACGGGAAAAUUCACCUUCAGAAGAUUAAGACUGCAGAUAAUCCUGCAGAUAUGAUGACCAAGGUGGUAACAACAAUCAAGUUCGAACAUUGUUUGAACUUGAUCAAUAUUCUGCAUGUUUAACACUUGAAGAAUCCACUAUCAAGUGUUGUUGACAAAGGCAGAGAGAAUUGUGUGAAGAUAAGAUUACUCGAAUCAAAUCUUCAAGGUGGAGAUUAUUGGGAAUUAUCCAUAUUUAUGGAAAAUCAAAGAUAUGGGUAUCAAAUAAUAGAAAUUCAAAGAUAUGGGUAUUAAAUAUUGGAAAGUCAAAGAUAUGGGUAUCGAGAUAUUGGCAUCAUAAAAUUUGAGAUAUUUGCAAUAUAUGGUCUCUAAUUGUAAAGUGACUUUGCAAGUUGAUCCCUGAACCUCAACUAUAAAUAAGCAUGACCAUCUCUCAUUCUGUAUCUCAAACUUGCCAUUCUUUACUUAAGGCAUUGUUUUCUCUCUCUCUCUCUUUGUAAAUUCUCACUUGUAUUUUGGAGUGAAAUAUAUUUGGUAGUGGCCGAGGAUGUAGGCAAAAUUUGCUGAACCUCGUUAAAUUAUUGUGUUCUUUAUUGUAUUAUUCUGCAUGAAUUGUGUGUGUGAUUGUAGUGAUUUAUUGUGCCAUUAAAUUACGAUUGAGGGAUAUUCUGGCUAAGGAAGACCUGGUACUUAAGCGAUCCUUGUGAUCCACCUCUCUUUCCUGGGAAUUGAACUUAGUGUGAUUUUUUAGUACAAAAAUUUUACUCUUUUACACGCUUCCGCACAACAUCUUUAAUGAUAAAAGCUUAAAGAAUAAUCUUUAAAAUUUGGUUGUUGGUAGCUUUAUUUGGGUAGAAUUUGAGAUUUAGUUCAUAUAUUUUAAAUGUUAAAAUUUUAAUUUUUUUUACUUUUUCAAUUUAAUAUUGUAAAAUAAAACCAUAAAAAAAAUUGUGUACAAAUAGUAUUGAAUUUACAUAAAAAUAUAUAAAAAAUGCAGCAUAAAUUUGAAUAAUAAUACAUGAACACUUAAAAUGAUAAUAUAUGAAAAAAAACUUAAGAUAAUAAUAUACGAUAAAUUUAAACAAUAUUAAUAAUGAAUUUAAAAUAAUAUUAAGCAUAAAUAUUAAAAUAAGGUUAGAUUUAAAAAUAUAUAAAAAUAAUGGAAUAAUAAAUACUUAAAUAAAUUAGAAAAAUAAGCAAAUUAAAUCAAGCUAAUAAGGAUUAAAUUGGAUUUAAAACAAAAUUAGAAGGCAAAAACGUAAAUAAAAUAAAAUAAAGGACCCAAUUGAAAGGCGCGAAUAACUCAAAGGGACCAAAUGGGGAAAUAUCCCCGCCUUUUGAAAUGCAUCGUUUCACCAGGACCAAAUCAGAAACCAAAUAAAAUUUAAAGUAUCAAUUGAAGAAAAUAAAAAAAAUUGAAUUAAAAUAAUAAAAAAUACGGAGGGGGCAAAUGCAUAAAUAUCCUUACCAAGACCAGAACAGGCAGAUCUAGCUGCCUCUGGGUCGAGUCAUCGGGUAUAGUCAAUACGGCACCGUUUUGGAGCCAUUGAAACAGACUUUAAAUGGUGCCGUUGCAUGGCCUUUAUAAAACAAAAAAAAAAAGAAAAAUAAACAAGUUUUUAGCCAUUUCGAAUCAGAUAAAAACCUUAGCCACACGCCGUUUAGAAGCCUGGCCAUUCAAAGGCCAAUCGAUCCCUGUCUGAACUUCGAUUGCGACAGAGUGAGCAAGGAUUCGACACCACCAAGUAAUUUUCUCACCUUAAAUCGUUUUUUUCUUUUUUUACACAUGAUGAGUAAACAAAUAGAUGAGUCUAGAACAGAAAAGAAAAACAACGAAAAGAAAAAAAAAGGUUUCAAAUCACCUUUAGAAAAUUCUGAUUCUUUGAUUUUUCGUCCCCUUUUAUAGAUUUUUAAUUGGCUUUUUAUAGCCGAAACGAAAAAAAGAAAAUAUGUAAAAAAGAAAUCUAUUAUGUUAUCUAGCUAUUUUCAUUUGCUGGCAUAUUGUUGCUCGCUUUUUACUGUUAUUCGUUUCUGUUUCAGGUGUACGAAGGAGCGAUGACGUGGAGGUGCAACACGCGUGGAGGCCUGGUUCCCAGCUGCGGCGUGGACUGUUCCAAAAACCCUAGGGGUUUCUGGAGAUUUCAAAUUGGGCCACUUCAAAUCGGGCUAGGGUUUAAUUAAGUCUAGGAUUGUAUUAGGUCUAGGAUUGGGUUAGAUUUUGGGUUUAGGCCUCAAUCCGAAUUUGGCCUAUUGUAACUGAACUUUUGGACUUAUUAAUGGUUAUUUUGGGUAUUGGGCUAUUAGGGUUUGUUGGGUUUGGGUUUUAGAUAUUUGGGCUGAUUUGUGUUUGUUUAUUUUGGGUUGUUUGUGUAAUUCUGGAAUUUUUAUUUUAUUGGACUUUUAUUUUUUGAUUUGGUUUUUUUUUUGUGUGGGCUCGAGCAGAUUGGGCCUGCUACAAUAUUGAUGCAAAACUUUGUCACUAAAGUGCAAAUUGUAACAAUAGUUAAGUAGUCUUUUGUUCGAAUAACAUUAGAAGCACAUCAAAGUCAAAGCACAUAGACUUUAAGUUCAUUGUUGUUAAAAUAAAAGUUUAGGGUGGUUAGAUGUCUAUAAAGUAUAUUGAGACAAACUCCAUGGUUGUGGAUUCGCUUAUUAAGGGACUACCACCCAAAGCUUUUUUCCUGAGCACACUGUUGAUAUGUGUGUAAUGUCAUUCAAGGAUAUUUGAUUUUAGUAGGAGUUUGUACUUUUAAACGUUUUUAUGUUAUAAAUACAUUUUCAAUUAUUUUAGUUUACAAAUAUUAAGUUUUUUUUUUGUAGAAAGAAAGUUUAUUUGGUAAAGUUUGAUCUCACUAAGAUUAAUGUGGACCGGUUAGAAUAUGCAUGUUUGAAUCAUAUUACAUGUAAUUUUCAUGUUACACAUCCAUACUUAAUCUAUGUCAUUUGGUUGUGCUAAUAUAUGUGAUUAAGGCUGGAUUUAGUUAUGAUAUAUGUAACAAAGUUGCAUUCUUUCUAUGUUAACAUAAUUAAUGGACAGAUUGUUCGAAAUGCCUUUUAGAUACGAUAGUAAAAUUUUGAGCUCAUAAGGUUAUAUAAUGACAUGUAAUUAUAAGGUAAUCGGUAUAUAUAUAUAUGUCAUCCAAGUGGUAUAUAUGGACAUCACAUAUAUAAUAAGCAUGUUACAUGUUAUUAUUUACUAUCAUAAAAGAUUAACUCAAAUUAAAAGUGACCUAAUUUGGUUAAGAUUUAUUGGAUUUUAGUUAUUAAAUAAAAUAUAGGUCAAUAAUAUGUGUAGAUACUCUAGUAACUAAUUUCUAAUUUAUGAUGGGCUGAUUAGAAAUUAGGUUAAUGUGAAAAUGUUAUAUAUUAGGAUUUUAGUCUCCAAGUUACGCAUAUGUAACUUUUCUAAUAUCCCAUCUUGAGAAAAGAGAGAGUCACCUUCUUUAGAUUACUUGUGAGCUAAUUUGGAAGAUCAAAACCUUAAAAUUCGUAGAUUUCAAGAAAUCGGUAAAUUCAAAUACGCUUCUGCAUUUAGUUUUGUUCUUAAUUAUUUGACAUGAUAGAUUCUGAUUUAUUAAGUUUUGUAAAAGAGUUUUACGGUUUUAAUAGGAUAAUUACGAAUCCCAAAUAUAAACUGUAAAACGGACAUGAAGAAUAUAAAAGAAAUAUUACAAGAAUUUUGAAAGAGAAAAUUAAAUUGAAAAUUUUAAUGUUAUUUUUAUCUUUCAUAAUUAUUUUUAUUUAUAUUUUAUUUACAAGAACAUUUUAUUAAGAGUUUAUUAGGAUUAAGUUUAUUUUUACUUUUAUUAAAUAAAUGUUAGACUAAAAAUAAACUUUUUUUUCCACUGUUGGUAUAAUGGAUAGUAGGCUAGGUUGUCCUUUUUUAUUUGUUUAGGCACCCGUGUAUGAGAAUAAUUUAUAUUAGAAUAGUCCUAAAGGUUAAAGAUUUUAAUAUUAAUAAAAUUUUGUCACAUCAUUAAAUUUUAAAAAUAUAAAAUUAUUAUUAUACAUUCGUUCAUAUUAAAUUUACUUUUUAACUUUCGUUCUUCUUAAACAUAAAUAAUUAAAAUAAAAAUAGAAAAAUAGAAUAUUUAAAAUUUAUACAAUCCUUAAAGAUUUAAUCCAAUAUUUUUUUUUGUUUUAAAAAAUGUAUAAUAUGAAAUAGAAAAAAAAAUUAAAAUGGAAAAACUCCAUUGCCUAUAAACUAAUUUUUUUUAAAAAAUUGGUUACAAAAAUUAAAAAUAUUAACUUCUGAAAAAAAACUAAAAAUGAUUAAAAUUUAUAAAAGAAGAAAAGAUGUUUAUUUAUAAUUUAAAAAAAUUAAUUAUUUUAAGUAAUUUAAUUAAAGUUAAAUUAAGUUAAGAAAAAGGAGAAAUGGAUAAGUAUAUAAUAAUACAUAAUUUGUUAAAUAUAUAAAGAAAUUUAUUUGAUUUAGUACCUAAAUAUUAAUAUUCGAAACUCUCGAUUUUUCACAAUUUAUUCAAUCAAAUUUAGAUCCAACUUUAAUUAUAUUACAAAGACAUUCUAUUUUAUUAUUUUAUUAACGGGUGAAAAAACUUAGUUCAACCCAUAAACAUUGACCACAAAGGGAAAUUUGAAACACUUACCACCAAUCCCCUAUCAGAAAGUCUUUCCCACAUUCAACUAGAAAUCAGAGCUCACCAAAAUGUUUAUUCUUUUCAAUCUGAACCGACUCUACAAUCACUUAUUGCUCAUGGUCUUCAGCCUAUAAACCCAGAAGCAUUAUUAACUUCUAAAUCCAAAACACUAAUAUCAGCAUCCAACCCUACAAUGGUAGUCUUAUUGACUCAUUUAAACAAGUUUCCUUUGUCAAUCUAUAUUCCAUAUUGGGUAAUCUCCAAUAUUAAUUCAGAAUUUAGGAUAGCUGGAACAAGAAUAACAGCAAAGAUGCAAAGCGAAACGACUUGUAGGAGGAGGAAGAACCUUCUUUUGGGUACAAACCUGUAUAGCAUAUAAUAGGAUGUCCUGUAUAAUGUCACGAGAGCUAGUACCGUUGCCAAGCAGUAAUUAGUAGUGCUGAGUUUAGAAUAGGAAACGGAUCCAGGAGUCGAAAGAUAGAAAAAAUACUGAAGUGCGAGUGUCCGUAUGGAAACAGCAACCAAAAGCAUGUAACAGGUCCCAAACAAGGAAAGUGUUAUGAGAAUAAACAAGGACAUUGAACGGCUGGGUAGGAGAUACGCUGUUAAAACAGUUGUUGCCCAAAAGGUUAAAGUGUUGUAUAACCAAAACAUUGUGGACACGUCUAGUAUAUUUUCUAUUUUUUUUUCUUCAGCGGGUGGAGGACUUGGUACGGGUCCAGUGCUGGUUGAACCUAAAGAUAUGUCAUACGUGAGAUGGAAAUUCUGGGAAUUUGAAAUGGUAUCAGGCUGCUUUGGAGG